rnacentral:lncRNA from 1 species
GAAUAAAUACCGCACAGAAAUCUGAUUGUGAGUUAAAUCUAACUAAAUCUUAUUAUGAAAAUAAAUAAAUCAACUUACAGAUGAUCAAUAAAUCCAAAUAAAUACUUAAUUGAUCCGGAAGCGUGCGAGGCACUGCCCUAAGGCGUAUUCCCGUCCUUACGUGCGGGAUUAACCGGAAACACCGCCCCAAGGUACGACUGGAAUUCCUCCUCCUGCGAGCACGAUCGUGAAGAAGGUUGACGGAGACUCUUUCAACACCCGAUGACAAAGAGAUUGAUCAAAAUAGAAUCUAAAAUAAAAUUUAAAUCAUUCUUUGCAAUGUUCAUGUAUAUCAAUGAACAGCAUGCAAAGGUAAAUAUAUAUAGAGGGGUUAUAUGGUGUAACAUUGGAAUCAACCCCAACGUACAAACCUUAUUAUGCACCCUUAAUUCAUGCUUUAAUGUGAAAUAAAGGAGGAAUAAAUUAAAUUUAAUACAUCCAAUUAAUUAACAUAAUAAAAGACAAUAAAUGUAAAUAAUUAUAAAAUUAAAUGAUAUUUAGAGAUUUUGGAUUUUUUCACCAACAAAUCCCCACAAAAUUCAAAAUCACAAAAGAAGAAUUAAACAAACAAAUAAAUAAAUCAUCAGGUGUUUAUACUAUGCAAUAGGCGAGGUGUCUUUAAGAGACUUAACCCCACUUAGUGUAAAUAGUUUCCAUAAGAAGGAAUCGGAGUGAACCAGGUCUUGAACUACGUUCCUUUGUCCCUGACUUCAACUAUCACACACACAGUACAGAAUUCUACGUCGCGGAUCUGUGCGUUAAUGGCCAUGCACAGUACCUUGAUUUUUCAUAAGAGUUUCUAUGUAUAGCCCAUUCACAUAGCCGCGGCCACAUACGGAUACUCUUAUAUAGGUGGUUUUAUCCAUGGAUGUGUGUAGAGUCACAUAUCGCGAAAAUUAUCACCUUGGAUCCCAUUGAGAGCUCUCAGCUCAACCUAAUCCACUACACAGAGCACUACUCACCAUAGGGAAGGGAUUGGAGCUAAAGCUCCUUUAUAUAAACUGUAGAAAGUGCUCUUUGGCCAACCUGACAGUUUGUUUUUACCACAUUGAACCUUCUUCAAAGGAUCUCCUAUCACAAAGGUUAGGUUCCCACUGCAGGAAGGCCCAUUAUGGGCAAGUCCCAUCCCCCUCGAUGACUCCAGGACCUUAGUCCUAUUCAGGCCUUUCGUCAAACAAUCUGCAAGAUUCUAAUCAGAUCUGAUAAAACUCAAAGAAACAAUGAAAAGUUAGCCAUCUAAUAAACUUUUGUCUCAACUUAAAUAUGUUUGUCAACUUUAGAAUUUACCAAAUUCUUUUCCAAAAUAAACAUUAAAAUUUAAAAAAAAAAAAGAAAACAAUCAUAAUGUCAAAAUUUAUCAAUAGAUAAAAGAUUUCCCCCCACAAGUUCUACGAUAUAUCAAAACUUAAAAUCAUGAGGUUAAUCAUGUCUAAUGGGGUUUGGUUCAACAGCAAAUAGAUGGCCUAAACAAUUUUUUAAAAUUUUAUCUCAAUUAGAUCUUUUCAUUACAAAAUAUAAUGCAAGCAAUAUGCAUCAAACAAAAUGAUUACAGUAAAGUGGUGCUGUUGGUUACACGACUUUGUUCAAAGACUGUGCUUAAACAAACUGUGGGUUUCAAAUCCCAAUAUUGAAACAAUAACAAUAAUAUUUAAUAAUAAAGCUUAAAGAAAUCUAACCUCUUUUUUUUUCAGAAAAAUCAGAAAAUAGUUUUUAUAUAUAUACACAAACGCAAAGAAAUCCACACACUAAAAAGUAUUUUACUGCAGCAAAAUUGUUUAAAAUUAAUUUUGCCAUAGCAAAGCUUUAUUAUUAAAUAUUAUUGUUANAAAAAUUUGAUAGCAAAAAGAGCGUUUUACUAUUAAUAGUAUUCCAGCCUAAUUCUAUAUAUAUAUAUAUAUAUAUAUAUAUAUAUAUAUAUUAUAUAAAUUUUAAUUACUAGAUUAAGAUUCUAUUUUUUUUUUUUUCAACUUUUCAACCACUAGUAUGGUUGACAAUCUAACACGCUGUUCACGAGCCAUUUCGUAUUCGACUUGUUAAUAAACAAGCCGAGCAUAAGCUGAUUUUUUUAGCUCAAUAUUUUGACCAGCUUACUCGUGUUCGCUCAUAUUCGGCUCAUUGACAACACCAGUUCUAUAAAUUAAUGAUUUAUAAUAAUAUUCGUUUCAGCUAUUUAAAUAAAAAAAAUUAUUGCAUGUACAUACAUACAUACACCGGGUGCAGGGAAUAAAAGACAAUGGCACGUGCGGAAUUAAACGCCGGUGGAGUUACGGCUGAUUACGUCAUCGGUGGGUGCAACCGUUACAUGUCACGUGGGGCCCGCAUGUCAGCUUCCGCAGCCCUAAUACCAACAAAGCGUUACACCGAACAAUUUCUCGCACGUGACACACGAGCUCGGCGACACGUGCGGAGAAUUGGGCACGCAAAAGUCUCAGAAACUCGCUAUUUAUUAACAGACGCAAUUCGUGUUGAAAAAAAAAGAUGAGACAUUAAAUUUAGUCAACGAAACAAAAAUCAAAACAAAUUUUGAUAAUGCUUGUUGUUUGCAGUAGAAAAUAUGACCACGGUACGGCACGGACACGGUCGCUUUCUCACCGUGACACACUACACGGGUCGCUUAUUCGAUUCAGAGUGAAUUACUGAAUCAUACUUAAGCGGCGAAAUUUGUAGAUUUGAUUUUUCUUUUAAUCGUUUCGAUUCUGUAAAUAAGUAGAUGUUUGAAAUAAAAGAAUAUAAUGAUUAAAUAAUUAGAGAGAUCUUAUUUUUAAGUAGUUUGAAAAGACUUAAACUAAAUAAAAAUAUUUUAGUAAAAUUGAAUGAACCACAAGCUGGGUCGACCGAUGCUCGCCAUUUUUUAUUAUUGCUUUCACAGGCUCCCGCCAACAUCAGCUCAAUCACACAUACAGUUUACGUCGCCUAGCGAUGUAAGGCUCAUCGACACUUUCGACUGGUGAAUCAGCUCCGAUAACAAAUGUAAUAGCCCCGCCCAUUAGCGAUUAGUAGUAGCAACUUAUUGAGUCCAAAUUACCGAUCCAAAAUGAUUAGUCCAGUUAUUAUUGUUAGGAUUCAUAGUCUUUUAUAUUUCUAGUUAAAAUUUCAUUUUCUUCUGAUAUGGAAUUAUCGUGUUUCACAGAUUUUAAUAAAGAUGUUUGUGAACAAGGUUGGAUCUGGAUAAUUUAUCAAUGUAUCUAUCGGAUCCACUUGAGUUCGUUUGGAUAACGACGAUCCGUAUAUUAUCAACUUAAAAUUGGAUACAGGUCGGGUAUAGAUUAAGUAUAAAUAUCUGUUUGCAUAUCGAUAAAAGUACAAAUAUUUAUUGCAUAAUAAGUUCCAAACAAGGAUAUAAAAUUGAGCAAAAAUUGUAUGAGCAUCGUUCCCAAACUAUCAGUUUGGGGAUGAUGCCCCCAUCCUCACCCUCCAUUCCUAUCCAUCAAUUUUUUUUCUUUCUCUCUCUAAAAAUUCACGCCGACAAUUUUUUCUUCUUUUUUUCCCGUUUUCGGCCGUGCGAUGGGCACAGAUGCCCAUACAAUUUUUGCCCUAUAAAAUUUGCAAUUGUUACAUAUGUACUAAUUACUCUAAAACACGUCCAACCACCACCCUAUACAAAGUACAAACACAAUAAUAUGACUGUUAAAUUUAUAUUGAUAAAUCCAAACAUGUACAAUAUGAUGAUAUAAAACACAUAUAACUAGUUAUAUAACAUACAAUAUGUAAGUCCAAAACACAGCCACCUACUACAAUAUAGUCAAAACACACAUACAAUGAGUCUAAAAUAUUAUAUCAAGUUUUUUUCUUCUUCUUCUCUUUUUAUAGCUUUUAACUUUUAAUGAUUGGAUAUUUUAUCAGGGUGGGGUUCGGGUUCGGAUUCGGGUGUAGGUCUAGAUAUAAAAACUAUUUCGGAUUCUACCCAUCAAAGGAUCGGAUCCGAGUUGGGUUCAAGUCAAAUAAAGAUAUAAGGUAUUCAGGUCCAUUCCUGAAACUCUAAAAGGUAAAUUUUUUUAUCCACAUGCUAUUCACUUUUAAUCGGUUCCGGACUACGUAUGAGUCAGGUCCGAAAAAGGUCCAGAUCGGAUACAGAAUAUGUAGUAUUUUAAACUUCUCUAGAGCUUAAUAUAUUUACAAUUUUUGAAAGGAACAAAUCAUAUAGCUAAAUUUAUUAGGAGGUUAAAUUACAAAAGAAAUAAUUUGGAAAUUUACAUUUUUAGAUUUGAUUUCUUUUUUUUGGAUCUGAGAUUUAUGAACCUUGUUGCUAGGCUUGGAUACAUACAAGUACCAUUGGACACCAUUUAAUGGUACAACAUUUAUCCAAUAAUAAUAGAAAAAUUACUAUUUAUACAUCCAAAAAAACGUGUAAAUCAUACGCCCUCUUAUUCUAGAGUUUAUAAAUUUUUUAAAAUUUUUAACAUAAAAAGAAAAAAAAAAUAUUGACAUGAGAAGGGCCUAUGGUCCCUAACUUUUUUUUUUUUUUGCUUUUUUAUUUUUUGCAAUCAGAUCUUUAACCUUCAUAAUUAAGUAUACGAAAUGAUCUUUAUCCUCUGCCUAUGAAGCGCAUCCAUCUUGUCAAGCCCAAUCUUACCACCCCCAAUGAUCUUUAUUAAGUUAGCGUGAACUAUUUCAUCAAAAUUAAUAAAAAUUUAGAUAGUUGAGAUCUAGCUGCAACAAAAUAUAAAGAUAAAUUAGAAAUCUAAAUAUUUAAGAACCAAAGUGAAAAACUAGGCAAAGGUCCACACUCUGUGUUGUAUUUGUAGGAGUUACAGGUUAGGGAACAUCGUGCAAUUACCUCCCCCAGGUUUCAAUAUGGAUGCAAAGAACCUGGGGGAGGUGCCCCGACUAUCAAAAUCCCACCCCGCCUCCUGUCCCGAAUUCGUAACUGGUUAAAAAAUAUAUUCCAUAAUCCGCCCCACCUCGUAACCUGCCUCCCGCUGGCGCCCGAAUCCGUCCCGCCAACUAAUUUUUUUUUUAUAAAAUUAUUAAUAUUUUAUAAAAUAUAAAUUAAUAAUUUUUAAUAAUAUUAUAUAUAUAUAUAAUUAAAAAUAUUAAUUAUAAAAAUUAAAAAUAUCAAUCACAAUUUUAAGCAAAAUUUAAAAAUUUUAAAUACAGGAGAAAUGAUAGCACUAAUUUAUUUGUAUUUUGAACUUUUUUUAUAAAUACAUUAUUUUUUAGAAAUAUUUUUUUAAAUAUAAAUAAUUUUUAGGGCAGAUUCGAGACGGAUUAUGGUGGUGCAGAUUCGGGGCAGGUCAAAAUUUCUUCCGUUUCCUACCCUAAAUCCAUUUCAGAUUAUAAAAAAUUAUUCCGUUUUUCACCCUGAAUUUAUUUAUUUUCUCUUAUUUACUGCUCAUUUGGGGCGGAUCGGGGCGGGAGCACUACGAACCUGAGAUGUAGGGACCAUUGUGCAAUUAAUUUGGAUCCUACCUAAGGACCAUGUGCAAUUAAUUUGGAUCCUCCCUGUUCCUAAAAGGCCUUUAAUGAGAUGUGUUGUAUUGGAAAAUUUACAUGAUGUUUUUAAUUGUGCUUGUAAAUUAGAAGAAUUUCUUUAUAUUACAUAUGUUAACAAAUCAAUAGCUCCUAAGGAAUAGUAUUUUAGUACAAUUCUUAAAAUUGUUAAAAAUGCCAACACUCACAUUAAAUUAUUAUUUGAUAUAGGAGUCCGGCUACUAUACUCUUAUGAGUACGAUCGCCUUCGUAUUCAUAAGUUGUUUUCGAUAAUAGAGCUUCUGAAUCGACGAUCCAUACCGUUAAACAUUAUCUAGAGAUUUUUAAAACUUAUAGAAAUCAGAUUUUAUAAAUUUUCGAUAUCAUUUACCUUAAGAUCAAAAGCUCACAAAAUUGACAGUUUUUAACGGUCAGUAUGAGAUAUUUGCUUGUUUAACGGUGUAAAAGAAUCGGAAUAGAUUGAAUUUUUGAUAGAAAAUUCUAUUCACUACCUAGAUAAAGAUUAAUAACUCCGAUCUUAAAUUGAAGGAUCUAAUCAUCUAUUUUUAUGAUGUCGUUUGAUUUUGACCGUUCAUUUUAUACCCGCUUGAUGGACUUUAUAAUGGUUUUAAAAAAUUACGAAAUUUAUUUUCUAAAAGUUUCAAAUACUCUAGAUCAUGUUUAACGGUGUGGAUCGUCGAUUCAAAAGCCCCAACAUCGAAAACAACUUAUAAGUACGAAAGGCUCUAUACUCAUAAGAGUAUAGUAGCCCUACUCUUGAUAUAGAUCAAAUAUAUAUGACCAAUUUGCAUAAAAAAUUCACAAGUUUUGAAUUUUUGUAAAAUUGGACCGUCUUUUUCGAUUUUGCAGAUUCGAACUGAAUUUUCAACAAACUGAUCAAAAUAUUUUUAUUCCUUUCUCUCUUUUCUUUUUUUCCUUCAGUUUUUUUUUUUCUCUCCAACCCUUAUCGCCUACUCCACCACCUCCGCCAUGUCGGCGACGGUAACGAGGGUGGCACCACAUCCUCUUCCUUCAUCUCCUCCUCUGCCAGCACCAACACUCCUCGGCGACGGUAACAAAGACAACACCGCCUCCUCCGCUUCAACCUCCGUCGGCUCCAGAGAAGCAGAAGGAGAACUCGAAGCGGGCCCAGAUAAGGGCGGAGCGGACGAAGGGUGGCACCACAUCCUCUUCCUUCAUCUCCUCCUCUGCCAGCACCAACACUCCUCGGCGACGGUAACAAAGACAACACCGCCUCCUCCGCUUCAACCUCCGUCGGCUCCAGAGAAGCAGAAGGAGAACUCGAAGCGGGCCCAGAUAAGGGCGGAGCGGACGAAGGGUGGCACCACAUCCUCUUCCUUCAUCUCCUCCUCUGCCAGCACCAACACUCCUCGGCGACGGUAACAANAGAUGGAGGGACACGGAGAGGGGAAGGGAAGAGGAGGGACAUGUGAGUUAUAAAAAAAGAAUGAUAUCUAAAGUAAAAAAAAAAAAAUAAAGAAAAAAUUUUUUCUCUCCAAAAGACUAUUAUAUAUCGUUACUGUUACCGAAAAGACUAAAAAUUAGAGAAAAAAAAAGAAGAAGAUGAAGAUUACACUGUUAAAAUAAAAUUGCAUUGUUUUAUAAGAAAAUUGCACUGUUUAAUAUGAACGUUAUACUCUUUGAGAUGAAAAUUAUAUUAUUUGAAAUAAAAAUUGUACUCUUUCGAUAAAAAUUAUAUUGUUUAAGAAAAAAUUGCACUAUUUUUCGACCAUCAUCGUCUCAUCAUCUUCUUCUUCCUCUUCCCUUAACCCCUUUCUCGCCCUCCACCUACGACCCCCAUCCUCACCAACGCAACCCUUUCUACCCUGUGCGCCACAUUGAAGUGCCGAAACGCGGAAACAACCUACCUUUCUUCCUCUUCUUUUUUUUUUUUUUUUUCCUUCGUUCUUUUUUUAACUCCAACCCUCAUCCACUCCUUCACCGCCUCCGCAGCCCUCGGCGACAGUAACAAGAGCAGCGCCACCUCCUCUUCCUCCAUCUUCUCCUCCGUCGACGCCGGCGGCUCUCAUCGACGAUAACGAGGACGACGCCUCCUCCUCUUCCUCCGCUUCCACCCCUUGAAGGAGAAGGAGAACUCGAAGGGAGCCCGAGUAAGGGCUGGGCGGACGAAGGUGAUGAGGUCGUUUCCGUGUUUCGAGGUUCCGAUGGGGUGUGCGGGGUAGAGAGACUCCCGUUGGUGAGAAUGGGGGUCGGGUGGAGGGGAGGAGGAGGAGGGGGUCAAGGAAAAAGGAAGAUAAAGAUGAAGAUGAAGAUGAGGCGAUAAAGGUCGGAUAGUAGUACAAUUUUUUCUAAAACAGUAUAAUUUUUAUUGAAAGAGUACAAUUUUUAUUUCAAAGAAUGUAAUUUUCAUAUCAAAAAGUACAACGUUCAUAUUAAAUAGUACAAUUUUCUUGUAAAAUAGUGUAAUUUUAUUUUAAAAGUAUAACCUUCAUCUUCUUCUUUCUUUUUUUCUGAUUCUUAAACUUUUCGGUAGCAGCAACAAUAUAUAAUGGUCUUUCAAAGAGAUUUUUUUUUUACUUUUUAUUCUUACUUUUUCAACCUCUAAAUUUUUAUUCGCUCCUUGAAGAUGAACGCGUUUUUUUUCCUCACCCUCAUGGGCAGCGAGCAUCUCCUCAACAAUGACCCCAUCGCCUCCGUCCGCUCCGCCCUCACCCGGGUCCGUUUUGAAUUCUCCUUCUCCUUCUUCGGCACUGACAAAAGCGAAGGAGGUGGCGCCGCCCUCUUUGCUAUCGCUGAGGGCCGCUGGCGCCGGUGGAGAAGGAGAUGGAGGAAGAGAGAAUGGCGUCGCCCUCGUUAUCGUCGCCGAGGCUGCGGAGGAGGUGGAGAAGGUGAUGAGGUCGAAGAAAAAAAAAAAGAACGAAGAAAAAGAAAAAGAGAGAGAGAGAGAGAGAGAGAGAGAGAGAAAGAAAGGAAUAAGGGUAUUUUUAGUCAAUUUGUUGAGAAUCUGAUCCGAAUAUGCAAAAGUUCAAAUCUUGUGAAUUUUUUAUGCAAAUUAGCUAAUAUAUAUACAUAUUAUAUAAUUAUUUAAUUUUGCGGUUUGGUUUGCUUAGUUCAAAAGUCAAAACCAAAUCGAGACCAAAAACUCAAAUUUCAAAAAAAUCACAACUGAAUCAAACCGAAAAAUCAAUUUCACCGAACGAAAUAGACUUAUUUUGUUUGAUUCGGCUUGGUUUUUUAUUUGGACCCCAAUUGUGAACAACCCUAAGUAUGAGGUGCAAUCUUGUGGCUCAGAUAAAACAAGCAACAAACUGUUAUUUUUUGGUUUUUUUUUUGUUUUUUUUUUUGACAGAGAAAAGUAGUGAGCUACCGCCUAUCGCAUUCAUUUUAUAGAUUAAUUACACUUUUGGUCCUCAAAUUUUAAGACGCAGAACAAUUUGAUUCUUAAAUUUUAAUUUACUGUAAUUAUUGGUUCGAAUGUUUUGAAUUGUAAUAAUUCAGUUCUAUAACUCAAUUUAGUUGGCUGUAAACAUUGUUGUGUCGCCAAUGCAAAAAUGAUGUGGCAAUAUUAUGACUAAAAAUACAGUAAUAAUUAAAAUUCACAUCACUUUCGCAUCAGUAAUUCAUUAAUAUUUAGCUUAAUAAAUUAGAUUUGAUCUUAAUUAUAAUAAUUUAUUCGAAUCAAAAGAUUAUAUUAAAUUAAAGUUUAUGAACUAAAAUGUCACGCGGCCUCAUAAUUAAAGAUCCGAAAAGACUUUUGCAACAAAAUGUUUUCUAUUAAAAAUCUUCUUUUUUAAAAAAAAUUUUCAUUUGUUUGGUUCAAAAAAUAAAAUUAAAAUUUUUUUUUGGAUUUCAUAAGAAACAAGUAUUUUUCUUUUCUAUUUUUUAAAAAAUUACUAAAUUUCAUAAAAUAUGAAAAAAUAUAUUUUCAAAAAUGUUAGUUUUUUUGGGAAUCAAAUUACCAGAAAACUAAAAAUAGAGUAUUUCAUGAAAAACCUUUUCUUUGCAAAAAUUAUUUUUAUGUCUUAUAAAGAUCCAAACAACCUCUUAAGGUGUGUUUCGUUGACCGUAAAAUGUUCCUAAAAUUUUUUUUGGGCUUGAAAAAUUAUUUUUUGUAUGUUUGUUUAGUCGUAAAAUUUUAUUUUUACAAAUUUAAGAAAAAUAGAACUUUUUUGUUUUCUAAUCGUAAAAUCUUUUUCAUUUAUUUUUUUUUCAACUAAACAAAUUUUGAUAAAAAAUUAUUAUUUUUUCUAUAUAUCCAAACAUUAUAAAACACAAAGCUUUUCUUCCAUAAAAAAAUUUUUUAUAAAAAAUUAAUUUUCACCAUUUUGCCUGGAACCAAACCUAGUUAGUAAAUUCGCGAAUUAUUCAGGAAUUAUUAAAAAUCCGAAUUAAGCGGUCUAUUUAUAAAUUUUUCAGAAAGAAAGAGAAUUAUUCGCGAAUUUUUUGGGCCAGCCGAAUUAUUCGUGAAUAAUUCGCGAAUUAUUUGCGAAUUAUUGCCGAAUUAUUGAAAAUAUGAAUAAAAAACUUAUAAUUUUAUUUUUAAAUAUAAAUUAUUUUAUAUUUUAUAUCUUAUAUUUUAUAUUUUAUAUCAAAUCCGUUUUUUAAGCCGAAUUUUUCAACGAAUUUAAAAAUUAGAAAAUAAAUUUUAUACGCAUUAUAUCCGUACCGAAUUUUUGCCGAAUCCGAAUUAACUAACUAUGGAACCAAACACCCCUUAAUUAGCUUAAAAAUGUCAAAAAAAUAAAAUAAAAUUUAAAUUUAAAAUUUUACAUAUUAAUUAUCAAUUUUUUUUGAUUAAUUUCAUACAUAUCUCUGCAAAUAUAGUGAAUAACAAAUAUAUCCCUACAAAAUUCACUUUCAUAUAUUGUCCAUGCAAAAGUCCUAAUGUUUUCAAGUAUAUCCUUCUGCUUUAUUACCGUCAGAGAAUCAUUUAUAUUUUUAAUUUUGCCAUCACAAAUAUAUCCCUCCAAAGCUAUACUAGUAUAAUAUAAAAGGGUAAAAAUGUCAAAAACUAAUUAGUAUUAAAUAUUUAACCUAUGGUUAACUAACUUUUUCUAACAGAUUCUAACGUCAGGGGCAUAUUUGAAAAUAUCAUGACUCUUAUAGAGACAAUAUAUAAAAAUUAAAUUUUAUAGGGAUAUAUUUGAUAUUUACUAUAUUUGAAGGGACAUGUAUGAAAUUAUUAUUAUUAUUGGGUCACUUGAGCGGAAUUAUAUUACGCGUCGCUUUUUUUCGAUCUGGCAAAUCGUUUGUGGGCCCCCGAAAGAACUUUUCAUUUAAUAAAAAAACACGUGCGUUUAAAAAAUGUCUCCGUCGCCGCAACACAAGAUGCCAUCAUACAGUGGAAAAUCAAGCUGUACGAAUUGCAACCAAUGAGGUUUUCUUUUAAAAAAAAAUGAAAAAAAUGAAAAUGACAUUGAAAAAAAAAAAAAUUUAAAUUACAGUUACAUAAUGUUGGUUUAAAGAGGUCAGCAAUCAGCAUCUUGCCUUACGACAGGAGAUUAGAUUAGGCUGAGUCGCGCUCAGAAUGACGAGAGAUCAGGUUGGACCGAGUUUUGUUCGAAAUGGCAUGAGACUAAUUGAGCAGAGUCACAAUUGAGAUCUGUGGGUGCUUUAUCUGUACGUUUUAAGUAAACUUAUUAUGUUUUUCUAACAACUCGAUCUUUUGGAAUUAAUGGUUAGCGCCAACGAUCCGACAACUGCGAAUAUGUGCAGGUGCUGUAGAGGGGGAGGGAUUGUUAACUUAAAGGGCCAACAUAUCACGCUGCGGCGGAAGGCCGGAUUAGGCCGAGUCAUAUUCGAAGUAAUGUGAGAUUAGUCAGGCCAAGUCACAAAUCGAAACCCUUAAACGUUAUUUCUAUACGCUUUAGGCUUCGUUUGGGAUUGCGGAGAAAUUGUGUUUCAUAUAUCGCGAUGAGUUAGUUACCAUAUAUUUUCUGCAAUCUCACCGGAGAACGCAGAAGCAUAUCCGUAUAUGCUUUUUCCUCAACUCUAUUUUAUCUAAUAGCGUUAGAUAGAUCUCAAUACCAAACUAAGCUUUAAGUAAAUUAGUUGUAUUUUUCUAACAGUUUGAAUUUUUUUUAUUAAUGAUUAGCGCCGACGAUCCAACACAUGAGACGAUAUUAUUAUUUUAACCAAUCAAAUUAUUUUUCUGUAAUUCAACCAUUUCGUCAUAAUUUAAGCUAAAUAUUUUUAUUACAUUUCACUAUAAAAGAAUUAUUUUAAUAAUAAUUAAUGUGAUUGAGAGUGAGUUGGAUACUCAAACUCUAGUCCUCGGGUAAUCACUUUUACUCAGAAAAACAUAAAAAAUUAUUUUUAAAAAAAACUCUCGCUUGCCUCCGAAAAUUAUUUAUUUUUUCAAUAUAAAAAAUUAGUAUUUUUUUAGUUAAAAUUUUCAAGAAAUAAAAAUAUUAGUUUUUUCUAACAUGUGGAAUUAUUUUUUAGAAAAAGUAGUUUUUUUUUUUUUUUGUAGCUUAACAGAUAAAAAAAAAAUGAAAAAGAGAGUUUUUUCAUGGAUUUUUUUUUCAGAACAAUAAUGUUUUAUAUUUUUCCAAAAAAUCAAAUACCAUGCAUGACACUUUGGUUUACAAACUUUAAAUUAUUAUAAUUUAGAUAAAUAUUUUAGAUUAACACAAAUUAGUCAAAUUUAAUUGAUCGAAUAAUUCUGGUUUGCAGAGAUGACAGUAAUAUGACAUCUUAUUAAUUGCCAGAUUAUUAAUUAUAUUCCUCUUAUAUUACUUAUACAUUAGAUAAACGAUAUUAUUUAGCUAAUUAAAUUACAUUAUAUGGUUUAAUUAUAAUAAUUUAAAAAGUUUAAAGCGAAAAUCACAAUGAAUUAAAGAUUAGGGAAAACUUCAAAUACCCUACCUGUGGCUUUGCACUUUCUCACUUUAGUACCCUAUGGUUUAAAGUGUAUCUAGUUAGUACCCUGCGGUUUGGCACUUUCUCAGCUUAGUACCCUGUGGUUUAAAGUGUAUCAAGUUAGUACCAUGUGGUUUCGUAUUUUCUCAUUUUAGUACCCUGUGGUUUAAUAUUUCGUUAAAUUAUAUACAAAAAACUUCAGAUAUCCUACCUAGGUUUAUCGAAUAUUCAUUUUAGUACCUUUUAGUUUUAACUUUGUCACUGAUUUAGCGAAAAAAAAAACCCGAAAUGGAUAAUAAAAAGAGAAAAAUAAAACUACAGGGUACUAACUUGAUACAAAAAUGAAACCACAGAGUACUAACUUGAUACACCUUAAAUCACAGGGUACUAAAGUGAGAAAGUGCAAAACCAAAGGAUACUAACUUGAUACACUUAAAACCACAAGGUACUAUAAUAAGAAAAUGCGAAAUUACUGGGGGGUUAUUUGAAGUUUUCCCUAAAGCUUAAGAAGUAAGUGUCACAAGUCUCAAAGUAUGAGGCCAAAAGUGUGAUUCAGCCAAAAUAAAAUAAAAUAAAGUGAUAGUGACAUUGUAUUCAAUCUAAAAGCAAGGUACAAAAAAUACCACGUGUAAAUACAUUCUCCAAAUAUAUAAACAUUAAAAUGUUAUGUAAGUCCAACUAAUUUUGGAAGCAUUUUAACUCUUUCCCAUUUUAAUACAAUAAAAUGAUGUUGAAAUUUAUCUUUAUUUAGUAUAAAAAAAGAACUUUGGACAGAUCACAAUUUGCUCUUUUACAAUUUAUCUUUAUUUUAUUUUAUAAUUCUAUGCUUUAAAUAAUUGUAUUUUAUUAUUACCUUGAAUUUUAUUUUUAUUUUGCCAUAAAAAUUUACUGGUAAAUGGAAGGGUAAAGUAAAUCAAUCAUAGAAUGAUCAAUAUAUACUAUAAAAUAAUAAAAUAUCAGAAACUUAUAUUUUGUCUCCUUCAAAUUUCAGAAAUAUUUUCAGAGUAUUACAGUGUUAAUAAAGAGGCCAAAAAUGACUAGAUUAUUCUUAUUUGCUCUAUAAAGAAAAAUUAAUUUUUUUAUAUAUUUGUUAUUUUUAAAGAUAUGGUGUAAGUGAUAGAAAUAAAUAGAAUAGUGGCAAAACUUUGAUGUAGGGCGACUAAAUGCAUCAAUUCAAAAUUUUGAGAGGUUAAAAUAUAAAUUUUUGAAAGCGAGGGAGAAAAACUGAAAAUACAAAUAUUAACAGAGAAAUUUUCUAUAUUUAUGCACCAUAUUAUCUUAUUUUCCUAUUCUAUGAUGAUAAGCAUUAAUAUACAUAGUUGUUACGCAUAGUUUUUUGAACUAGAGAAUGCCAAAUACAAAUCCACUAAACCGCAAUACAGUUUUGACUAUUUAUUGUUAGCUAAAGUAGAUCCUAUUUCGUAUAAGCUCAGAAAACUAGCAAGUUGAGUUUAGUUGAGUCUAAUAAAUUGAGUUAUGAUGCGGCCUCAAUAGACCUAAUGACAAAAGACUCAAUAAUAAACGUAAUGUUCAGAUGAAUUAAGACGAGUCGAAGCCUACGAGCGCUAUUGCUGAGCCCUUAAAUGCAAUAAAUGCGCUCUUUCUAUCAAUACAUGCUUUUGAACACUUAAGAUCUACAUAUAGAUGGGAUGGGUAAGUUAAAAUUUACACAACUGACUAAUAAAUAGAUUGAUAAAAUCUACCCAAUUUUAAAAUUUGCCUUGUUAAUUUAAAAUAAGUUUAUGGGGUAGACCAUGGGCUGACGCAGAACAGGGCAUGUGAUAACAAAAAAUCACUCCCUCGAUUUUUAUUCUUUUAUAAUUUACAUUUCAAUAUUAUCAAGUUUUUCUUAGUUAGAUCCCUCUGCCAGUUAUAAAAUAAAAGAGAAAAAAAAAAAAAAAAUCUAAAGCCUUGUUUGGUAUCAUUAUUCUUUUAUUAUUUUUUAAAAUACUAAUUUUUUAUAAUUUGAUGUGUUUGAAAAAAAAAAAUAACUUCUAUUGUUAUAAUUGAUUAACUUGCAAUACAUUCAAUUGAGUAAUAAACGAUACCUUAUUUUUAAAAAAAUUUGAAAGCAAAAAUUAAAUUUUAUUUUUUGUUGCGAAGCCUCUGAAUGAAAAAAUUGUAAGCAAUCCACCGUACAUUCUUUCGCCUUUUAAUACACAAAAUUCUAUUUAAAAAAUAAAAAACAAAACAUGAUGCCAAACAAGAACUAAAAUUUUUAUUUUUUUUAACUAUCAAUAAUGCAUGAGAGUUGUUGGCAUUCUAUCAAACCGACGUUAAUAAUCAGACUCAAUCCGAUAAUAAUUAUUAUGUUAUCUAAUUAGACUAAAUUUAAUCCCAUUAUAAAUUUGUAAAACUAAUUAGAGAUUCUUUCUAAUUAAAUUACGAUGACGAAUAAUAAACUGAUUCAGUUUAAUCUUCUACUUACCUUCCUGGUGUUGAAAAUCCUUGCAAACACACAGAAAAUUGCAAGAAAUUUUGUAGACAUUUGUAAGAAAUUUGUGUGUCAUCUUAUAAGUUAGCAAAUCCACAUCCUCCAUAAGUCCAUUGAUCCUAGAGAAUCUUGAAUGGUGGACUGUAAACCUAGCUUGUCCGCAACUUGAUUUAUCGCGGAUUUGGAGAGUUAGACAAUCUUCAUUGACUAUCCAAGAACAUACGAAUCAACCUCAAGAACCCUAAACCGAUCACGUUCGAAGAAAAAUUAACGACGGCUCACAUUAAAGGUACGAUCGAAUACAUCUGCUGCAAAAGUCAAAGUCCAUUUGGUUUCCGACAACGCCACCUUCCAAAUGGGCCAUGCAUAGUUUUAUACAAAUAUUAAAUUGAUUAUUAAAGCACAACAAAAAUUUCCAAUUCUUUUAUUGAUGAAAGGUUUUCUUUUUUUUUGCAUAAAAAAUUUAUUAAUUUUACAUUUUUAUAAAAGCGGAGAAACUGAUGAAAAUUCAUGUAUCUUAAAUUACAUCUUGUGAGAAAAAUAUCCUAUUUAUGAAGGAUUACGCUGGUUUGGUAUCGAAUCUUGAGAAAAGCAUCAAGGUUUACAUCAAAGUGGUAACAUGUAAUUAAGAUUUGAAAACAACCAUUAGUUUAAAGGGUUUGCAUAGAGUUUUGGUCGAGUAAAUGCAAUCUAAGGGAACAAGAAUUUGAUCACAUUAAUAACAUCUCGAUUCUUAAUUCAAAAGCAUAAGUAAAAUACUGCUCCUAUGACAAGAAAGGGAAAUUCAUGGAAACAUGAGAUUCAUCAAGUGUUUUGAUUGAAAAGUACCUCAUGCGUAGAUAUCCAAGCCUCGGCAGCAAAAUGUGCACAAAUGACUCCCGAAUUCGGAUAUCACAUCGACCAGUCCACCGUGGCCGCCAACGGCUGUUACCUGCGUAGCAACAUAGGAGAUCGAGGGAUCAGCUUCAUCGAUUUGGUUUCAUAUGAGCAUCAUCAAACAGAAAUCAUCCAGUUAAAGAUUGUAAAUGGAGAAGAGUAGUUUACAGAGGUUUUGAUGGUCUAAAUGACCGGAUAACGAAACAUUACCAAAUUACCGGCCAUUCAUAGAAUGCAAGUUCUAUCAACAUCGAUUUCUCUCAGUGCAAUUACUGUAUCAUUUGAGAAAGUAAAAUGUUUCAUAUGAUUGAUUUAUGGAAUUAAGCAGCAUUUGUCACUCUGGCUCAAAUAGGACAUUGAGGCGACUUAUAAUCAAAAGUUUCAUUCUCUACAAUCAUCUAGAUUAUCAUAGAAUAGGAAAAUAAGAUAAUAUUUUGCAUAAAUAUAGAAAAUUUCUCUUCCACAUGAUUUUCUAGAGGGGUUGCUUUCAAGUUCCCAUGAGAGUUCAGCUACAGCCACAAACAAGCCUUACAAUUUUCAAUUGAAACAAGCAGUUUCAUUGAUCUCCUAAUUUUGCCUUCGCCAGGGCACACAGCAAAGAAAGAAAACAAUCUUGGCAGUCAAUUAGAAAAAAAAUCUUGGUAGUCAAUUAACCUAACUAAUAAAUUUAUCAAAUAUACAGGAUAAGUUAUGGUCCUUACAUGGCAUACUCUAGCUUCUGAAUUGGCAAAAUAUUUCCGUGCUACAAAUUAAGGAAAGAGAGAUGGAAAUUACCCCAGAUGGAUGAACUGAUAUGCAAAAGGCUGAAUGAGGAGCACACUUUAUUUGUGAAAGAAUCGACCCAUCUAAUGUGAAACGUGAGAGCAGAGGCUCUGAACCAACUGCUAGAAUCUGAAUUCAGAAAAGUAAUAGUCGGUAAAUGAAGGUAAAGAAGUGACCAGAGUUGCAAACAUAAAAACUGAAUCCGAGGGUUAAAGCAGACGGUGGAAAACUGAAUUAUAAUAACACAUAGAUAAUGAUAAACAUAAACAUGAACACAUAGGAAGUUCUGUUUUUCUCAUAUGCAGUAUCAAGUAUUAAAGUAUUAUUUACGAAGCCCUGCGCAUUGCAGCAUCCUUUUUUUUAAAGCAGUAUAAUAUGUAAAGGGCCUAAAGUAACAAGAAUAGAAAAUGUCCAUCCUACAAAUGCAAAUAAACCAUUUUGCAUUGACAAGCUGUUAGCAGGGAACAUCUUACUUGGUUCCCAUGAAAAAGUACAUCCUGAACAGGAGCACGGCAAUCUACACUAAAAAUGCACUCAUUUGACAGCAAGCUCCAAACUGAUAGACUAUUAGAAGUGCCACAAACCUGAAAACGAUUAGUAGUUUAGUAAUAGAGAGGUAAGGAAUAAGUAACAAAUUUCACUGCUAGUCCAAACCAAAAUAAAAGGAACACUUCGCAUAGCGCAUCAAUUCAAAUGGAAAAGGGAAAUGAGAAAAAUGCAACGCAUGGAGUUUAAUUUUGCUUGAAGUUUUUAGCGUUAUUUUGUAUGAGCUUAGACACCUUGAGUAAAGGAAACAAGUACUAGCUAACUUGUAUUAGUUGGAAAAACUUUUACCAUCCAGCUUUCGCUUGUGUCGAUGGCAAUGGAACUAACCCAUGCAGACUCCUUGAGCUUACGAUUCUUGUCUGGGUAUAAUAUUUGAGUACAUCUUCCACUUCUGCAAUCUGUAUUUAAGUGCAUAUGAGAAAACAUAGAUAAGCAUCAUACAUGCAUGAAUUUUAGAUGCCCGGGUAUGUAUAGGUCUUAUCAAGGGCCGAUGCAACAAGACAAGCUUGUCAAGGAAGCUAACAAAAGAGAUGAUUACUAGGCGUCGGGAUUACGAACAAAUUUUAUACUAACACCAAUUAAUAGCAGAAAUGCAUUCUUUUUGGCAUAAUAUGAAAAUUAUUUCUUUAGCAGGAGUAACUUCAUUCUUUUACAGGCCAUGAUGGAUAAUCCAAAAACCAAUAUUGUUUAUCAUACUGAUAGAGUCACAGAUGGAUAUUUGUUGACUUUCAUAAAUUUAAUGAAGAAGCAACAAUAAAGUCUUCUUGCAACUAAAUAUAAGAUAUAAACCUCACUAACUAGAUUGACAUAGAAAAGCUUUUAGGAUCUGUAACCUACAAAAACUAAUACAAACUAAGAAUAGUAGAAAAUAUAAACCCACCCCAUAUCCGGGCUGUUCCAUCCUCUGAACCUGUUAUGAUCUGAUACAAGAAAAACAAAACAUUAGCAAACAAGAAAAUAUAAAAUGUAUAUCUCCACAUGAUUAAUGCAAUACCAAGGCGCUUGUGAGAAAUUUGCUAGACAAAUGACAGGUAGGGUUACCAAACUUAUCAGUUCCAGUUAAGGUUCAUAUAACCCAGUAGCAGCCUUCAUGUGUUAUAGUAGGAACAAAAUCAGCUAAGUGCCUAAGAAAAAAAGAAUAUCCUAUAAAGAGGGUUCUUCAUCUUCGCGACACAACAAAGAAAACGAGAAAAAUGUAAUUGCAUGUAACCUCUCGAUAUCGAAAGAAACAAACCAAUGCCUAUGUUAUCUACUGAAGGAAAAACAGAGGAUGAAGAGCGUGUCACUUACCAUAUAGGUCAAAUGUUCGCAAACCUUAUCCCCACAUGAAUAGAAACUGUCUCCCAAAUUUGAAUCCAUUUAACAUUGAGUGAAAUUGAUAAAAAACAAUGAGGAAAUGAACAAACCUGGUUGCUUGAUGUUCGAACUGCAAUGCUAUGCAAAUACUCAGAAUGCCCCUUAAAGAUCAUUUUACAUUUGCCAGUCUCCUGCAGCAGCAAUUAUGUCCAAUGAAUAGGCAGUAAUGAUAAAUUACAACAUGAGAAAGAGCUUAGUUUAUAAGUUUACAAGUUGUCAAAGUUUCUACUAAUGUCAAGCAAGAUCAUUUUUCUCUCUUUAAAAUGAGCUUUCAACCUAAUCUAUUUACCUUAUAGAGAUACAUACCACAUCCCAACAAUAUGCGCAUGCAUCACCAGAGGCUGAAUAAAUGGAACCAUCCUAUUCAAGAAGAAAGAACAUCAUUUAAAUGAGAAAAAGAACUAACCAGUAAUGAGUGUCGCUUGCGGACAUGAAAGGAUAGUGAAAGAGAUCAGUUCUUAUUUCAGGGGCUCUAAAUAAAAUGCAAAGUAUUAACACAGUCAUUUUCUGGAGACCGAUCUAUGCCAUUUGGAGAAUCAUCUUUGCCCCUUAUUAUAUGCCCUAAAAGAACUUCAAAAAUGAUUCUAUUAUCUUUAUAUCACAUUUUGCAGGGGACAAGAUUUAUGCAUCCGCUGAAAGGAGAAAUGCUGAUUAUUUUUAAAAAGGAGAGCUUUGGUGAAGGUUUCAGUGCUAAGCCUCAGUUCCAACUCUCCAUAUCAGAUCAGUUAAAAGGUUCAUAUUCCUGAUUUGCACAUACAUUUUAAGUUUGGCCCAAAUGACUUUAAGAUUCAGCUGUUCCAGUUUUGUUAAUUUUAGAUUUUAGUUUACUAGUUUCGUUGCGAGUAAGAAAAUAUCCAAAGUUUCUAAUGAAGUCUGCAAAAGAGACCACACAAGUAAAAAAUCCGAAAAAGGUAUUACCUGCUUAUUAACUGCAAUGGCAUUAUUUUCAGGUACCGGAGAAAGGACGCCCCAAGGACCUCUAAAAAGCGAGGAAAAGAGAAAAUUUAGGCUCCAGAAACAUUUUAAUCAGAGAGAGAUAGAGAGAGAAUUGCAUAUAUCACUUCAUAUGCAAUAUAUGAUGCUUCAUAACUCCUUAAUCCUUCUUUACUUCAGAUGACUCCUUAAUCCUUCUUUACUUCAGACGCCUUUUUUUAUUUCCUAGCUGUUUUGCCCUAAAACUGUAUUUCAUAUUUGUGGUCCCACCUCACUCGCCCAAUCAAAAUCAUGGCUGUACAUGAAGUUAAAAUGACCCCAUGUUGAGAUAACAUAUAAUUAAGAAAGCAUUUUUAAGAUACAUAUAUUUGCAAACUACUGAUGCUUAUCACGAGCCUGCUUCACAACAAGGGAGGUAGAGGGUUACAAUAAGUUGAUAACGGGACUCAAAACUUGGGAAAUAAUCACGUCUGUAAUCCCAAUCAUAUAUGUUAUAUCUACCCAUACUUGGAAAAAUCACCGACCAUACAAAGAUAAAAUCAUAUCAGCCACACUUAGAAAUCAAAACACCUAACCAGAAGAGGUAGCAAUAAGAUGGAAGUCCAAAAAGAAAGGAUGAUUGUAGUAUCAAGAUACUGAAGUAGUCUCAAGCAUGUUACUGUUACAAGGGCAAAGAAUGUGAUGCUCCUAUUUCAUGUUUUUCAAUGGUUCAAAAAAGCACCAUUUAAGGAAGGAAGCACACAAUGCAUAAGAUGCUAAAGCAAAGCAAGUGUUAUCAUGUAGGUCCGUGUACCAAAAGUGUCUCUACAUGAGAAGGUCCGUGACUGAAGCAGUAUUUAUAUAACUAUACAGCUCAAUCAUGGACAUGGUAUGAAACAAGAAAUUGGAGCAGAAUUUUAGGGGGUGUUUGGUUCACCCCUUCUUCACCCUAGAAUAGGAAUCGGAAUGGACGAAUCCAUUUGUCCGUGUUUGGUAUGCGGGAUUUCCAUUCCGAUUCCGAUUCCGGGUGAUUGGGAAUCCCCCUACUUACGCAUUUUUCCAAUCCGGCUAAGAAGGCUGGAUUGGAGAUUGAAUCUGGGCGGAAUGGAUUUGUUCAGGUUAAAUUUAACUUUUUUAAGCUUAUUUUUAAUUAAAACAUAAGUUUAUAUUUUAAAAUUAUAUUUAUAAAUUUACAUUUUAAUUUGAACUUAAAUUAAAAAUUAAAAUGCAAUCAAGUAUUUCGAAUCUAAUUUAUAAAUUUGAAUUUAAAUUUAAAUUUAAUUUAAAAUCUAAAGUUUUAUUCAAAUUUUAUUUAAAAUUUAAAUUAAAUUUAUGGAUUCAAAUUGAAAUUUAAAUUAUAAUUGUAAGUUUGAAUUUGAAUAAAUCAAAAUUUAGUUUUAUAUUUUGAACUAUCUAUUCAAUUUCAAAUUUUAAUUUUUAAAAAAAUAUAUAUUUAAAAUUUUGACAUCAUUUUAAAAUUUUGACCUAAUAUUUAAUUUUCAGUUUGAAUUUAAACUAAUAUAUUAUAAAGAUAAAACUAAUAUAUCAAUUUGAUUACGUUUCUGAUAUCUAUCUGAACUAAACACCCACAAUGAGAAUGAUUCAUUCUGAUUCCGAUUCAGGUGGCGAACCAAACAGAAUGAGAUAAUGAAUCAUUUCGAUUCCACUUCUAGCUUAUUCUCAUUCCGAUUUCGACUUGAACCAAACACACCCAUAUUUUCUUCUGAAUGCUAGUUCUUGUGCAAUCAACAACAUAAUAUUUGGUAAACAGCAAGAUGAAAAUUAGUUAGUACAAAGCAAAUUACCAAAAAAAUAGUUAUAAAAGUUAACUAGGAAAAUAAAAAAUGAAGGUUAUAAAACAAUAAAUAAAACAAAGAAUGGUACACCUUUCACCUUACUAAAAGAUUUGCUUUGUUCUGACUAGGUAAAUGCGAUAAAAAAGUUCAUUAACCUUGCAGAACGCUACAUAUAUAAUGCAAUCUUUUGUAACAUCUGGGACAAAUUUGCUACAAAUAUACUAUGGAUUUGCCGAUACCAAGCUGAGUGAAUGAGCGCAUGAAGGAAUGCUUUCAAAAGCGGUAGAAAGAUACCAUGUUCGAUACUCACCUAGAUGGACAACCAGUCAACCUCGAUUCCCUUAGCAGUGGCAUUGUGAAAAUGGAAAGAGCUCCUACCCAGUAGCAAAAGUACUAUACUAAAGCUCAUUUUCCCUAAAUAGCUGGACCUUGGGCAAUCUACUCCUGCCUCGACAAGAUCUCAAUCAGUAAGACAACAAGCUUCUUGACUUGAAAGACUACUUCCUUUGCCCUCUCAGUUCUCUCCUUCCUUUCUGGAGUAAGGGGCCGAGUCUAUAUCCCUCAAAGACGACCACUUGAAGAAGUCCUUCAUUGGACUGACAUCAAAGUGCCAAUCCAAAGAUCAGAGACAACUCUCGGGAUCCCACCCCUCGCCCUUUUAGGCUAAGGGAAUGGUUCUCGAAGAGGAAGGGUUCAGAGGCCAGUCCCCCUUUGAAGAGGGGAGGUGGACCUUAAUGUACGCACUAAGAACUCUCUUGAUAUAAGAGAACUUAGCACUAGAUGAGUACUCGUGAAGAUGGAGUAAAUGGUCAAAUAAUAAAGGUUAUGUGUGUCAAGGAGAAAGAAUAAGAGGAUUUUCACAUCGACUGGGGUUUUAGUCUAUCAAAGGGUAUCUGAUAUAAAUUAUAAAUAAUCCAAGAGGAAAGAUAUUUUAUAUGGGUAUAAUAAACAAGAAGGAUAAAAAUAUCAACUGAGUCAAAGUCUCUGAACAUAUGUUAUCAUAUCAGACCUCAAUGUAGACUAAUGGAGAUGCACUAAAUAGGAAGAACAAAAACAAAAUACCAAAGUUAAUUUAAGAUAAAAAAAUUUCUAUUGUAGAAAUCUUACUCAUGUUGAGGGUUCACAAAGUCAAGUAUUGGCUUCAGAUGGUUACCUGCAAACAAGAAUGCUCAAAGCUUCACAAUGCAGCCCAAAAUUACUUCACAUAAGACCAUUCUGUCACUGGAACCAUCAUAGUUUCAUAGAAGAAACAGCAAAGCAAGUGUUCAUGAGAAAGUAAAUAUAGCCAUAAUGUAAGUAUAUAAAUGUGACUCUUCUAAUCUUCAUAUCCAAGUCCAUAAACAACAUAAGCAUUUAUAAUUUAUAGUUACAGAACUAACAAAACAUAGGGGUAAAGCAAUGCAUCUUUAGAAUCCAAAUAUCACCAAAGCUGCUCCUUGGCUUUGUCAUUACAUUGCAAUCUUGGAAUACUGUAACAGUUUUCUUCAUAGAAAGGCACAGUGAACACAUGGCCAUUCUUAGAGCAACAGUAAGAAGAGACUCCCUAACUAAGAGAUCUGUGGCCAUUUGAAAUACAAAUAUUUCCAAAGAAAGGAAACAUUGAAUAUGUAUCAAUGAUUUGCAAGAUACCUUGAAGAGAAAGAGGAACAUCAGAACUUAGUACUUCAAUCCAUCUCCAGCCUCGUAUCCUGCCAUCAUCACCACAACUGCAUAGAACGCGCAAUGUAAGCUUAGUGUUCAGAUAAUCUGAGAAGAUAGCAGUAAUUCGCAACAAGUAUCAUUCUUGAAAAGAAUAAAAACAUUAGGACAAGGUCAUUUUACAUAAAGAAAUAACUUGGGUUGUUUAUUAUGAUGAUAGAAAUGGAAAAGACAUAUCUUUAAUUGUACGAAAUAAAGCAUGUGAAGAUAUAUGAUGAGCGUAGUACGAACCUCAAUAACAAAGAUUCCUCUCCAUCCUCAAAGAAUUUUAAAUCAUAUGCAGGGCCUUUGUGCCCUUGAAUGAUGCAGAGUGGAUCCACAGAUGAAGAUUCAUAAAGAUGCCUUCACAUGAUUAAUAAGAAUAAAUUAGAACUAAUUGUUAAUGGACAAAAAUAAGCAAAUCAGGGCAUUUUAGUAACACUUACUGUUGAUCAACUUUCCUACUAAAAUGCAUAGGCUGCAAAAGAGAAGCUAAGUCAACAGGUGGUUCAUUUACCAGCAAAAAGAAAAGAAGAACAUUCUAUGCCCAAUAACAUUUCAUUUUUUUCCCUUAAUUCCCGAAUAAUUGAGAAUGACUGUAGCUAAAUAACAUAGAAAACACUUUGUGUGCUUAACUAGGCUUGAGAAUCAAAAGAAAAAUAAUUGAGGUAUUAUAGCCUGCACCUGGUAUACCCAUAAAUCUCAUCAACCACACUAAGAAUUUGUUGAUGAAUGUUUUAAAAUCAAAAUUAAAUCGAAUAGAUGUGAUCUACAACAUGGAUCACAGCAUCUAAAGGUCCCAUGGAUGAUACAUUUUGAAAACAUAUUGGCUAGGUGUCAAGUAAUGCCAAAAUCAAUAUUAUAGAAAAGGACAUUGUUUAGUUCAUACAAAAUAAGUCAACAAAAUUUGUAGUUUUUGAUAUGUAGGCCAUUUGAGUAUCAUAGAGCACAUUCAAUGAAUUAAAUUCUGAUUUUGAGGCAUCCAUGGUAGGUUUAAGGUGUGCAUCGCACGUCGCACCAGGUGCAUGCAAUAAAUUCUCAUAGUUGAGAGGGUCUCCAGACAAUUUCAUACAAUUUUACCUAAAAUUGUACGGAGACCCCCUCAACUGUAGGCCAUUUUUUAAAUGUCUUGACACCCUGUUUGAAUCGAGCCGAGUGUCCCAGACGGGUUGACCGAGUCAAACUGUUGACCAAGUCAAAACAUUUCUGACUUACGAAUCAGCUCAGAAGAUGACCCUCGAUUAAUGAGAUCAAGAUAGGUUGAGGAGGCAUCUGCUCAACCGGUUUCUUUCUCAAAUGCGUAAAAGCUCUUCGGAGAUGAAACGAACUCAAGAUCUUCGCACUGAAUCAGCUCAAGCUAGAGCCGAACUAGUUGGAUUUCAUUAAAAUAUUAAGUAGAACGCUGAAGGUUACAAGGAAAAGAGCGCUAAAGCUCAAGUUACAGUCUCUCGACUAAAACUAAAAGCUAAACUCUAAAAACUAUAGCCAUUCUUAGGAAAAGCUAUAAAUGCUGAGAACGGAAAGAAGUUUAAAAACAAUGGUCUUCGACACGGGAAAAGACUUUUAUUGCAGGCAACUUUCCGCUAUUUAUAGACUUACUAUCAAUCUUCAGUUAGUUGUUGUACGGUUGUCGCUUCGUGGGGAAUGCUCUGGCCAUUUUCUUUCGGUUACAAAAUCACUCUCUCGUCUCUCAACCGUUCCCACCCAAAAUCCAUUUGUCUUUAGGCUCUUUUUCUCCGGUUCUUGGUGUACCACAUAUCUUUUUUUUUUUUUGUUUGACCUCAUGAGCUGAGCCGACUACCAGUUUAUCACAUUUUCUUACGCCAACACACCCACUUAACUUUUUACUUUUUUUAUUUAGCCAAAAUAAAUUGGAGAUUAUCAAAUUAGUUAGCAAUUCGAUCAAAUUAAAUAAUUUUAAUCACUUAUUAGCAAAUAAAAUUGAAACAGUACCCAGCUAAUAGCUCAUAGAGACAUUAAAGUUGACCAAAUUUUCUACUUAACUAACAAUAAUAACUCAAAUUAAAAAUAUAUAUGCUGAAGCGAAGGGGAUCUCAAAUAGAAAAAAAUAAAAAAAAGUUAAAUUGAAGAGUCUUUUCAAAAUGAUCAAUAUUUGAGGGGGUUUCCAAACAUUUUAACCUCCAUUUUAACCCAAAAAUCGAGUAAAUAACCCGUGAUUCUGCAUAAACUACUAAAAACAACAGUAAAGAGAGUUAAUUGAUCGAAGUAACCUGGGAAUGGGAGGAGGAGAUGCAGGAGGAGAUGGAGUAGGAGGCGAGGGAUCCGUCGCUCGAGGCGACGACUAGGGUUUUGGGGCUAGGGUUUUGGGAGGGAGCGAACGCGGUUCUAAAGACGGUGCGAGAGACGAUCUCCCUCUCCGUGAGGACGCUCCGCCUAUAGCCUUCUUCGUCCCAAUCCCUCGCAUCCCAUCGUCGUCGUCGUCCUCCUUCUCCUCCGGCCCCCGCCAUUGUCGACCUCGGGAGCUUUUGCGCAGCGUUCGAAACGAGCGAGAGAGGGGAGUAAAGGGUUCGUGUUUUCGUAGUUAAGAGGUAAAAUUGUAUGGGAACCCCUCAACUAUGGGAAACGGUGACAUUCACUCCUCAACUUCUUAUUUUUCACUUUUUGGUGAUAAUUUCAUAUGUAUAAUAAUAAUAAUUUAGGCGUUUAAAAUUGGGGAUUUAUUACUGUAAAGUUUUAAUUAUUAUAUUUUUUUUUUGAAGCUUCAAAAUGUAGAAAUUUAUCUUUAUAAGUUAAUUAGCGUAAGUUAACCAUUAAAUUUCACUGUUUGGAUCAUUAUUCGACGUUUGGUUAGAGAAUAGGGAUAGGGAUAGGCCCUUAUCCCCUUUAUACCCAAACGCUAAUUUUUUAUCCGAUAAUAGUAGUUCUCGGUUAUCCCCACCAACACCUCUAUUUUCUAUAUAAAACUAUCUAAUAUUUUCUUAUUCCCGGGAACAACCCAAUUUUCAUCCAAACGCUAUUUUUCUUAUCCCCAUACUUGUACCUAUCCCUGUAAUAGUUAGUUCUUGCUUAUAUCCGAACCAAACUGUAGAUAUAUCAUUUAGUUUGGGUAGAAGUAAGUACUACUGCCUAUUCUAGGGAUAGGUAUAAGUUCAUGUAUAAAAUAAGAACUAAACCAAUAUUGCGUUUGGAUGAAAAUUGGGUUGUUUCGAGGAAUAAGAAAAAUAGCAUUUGGAUAAAUAAAAUAGAAUAAGAAAGAUAGUAGGUAAUUAUAAAUAAAAAAUAAUAAUAUUACCCCUCACAUUAUAUUUGAAUUUGAAUUUUUAAAUUUUAUAUUUAAAAUUUUAAUUUUUAAUUUUUAAAUUUUUAAAUUAAAAUUUUGAAAUUUAAAAUCUUAAUUUUUAAAUUCAAAAUUUUAAACUUUAAAUUUCAGACCAAAUUUAAAUUUGAAAAAUAUAAAAUAUCAAAUUUUAAAUUUUAAAAAUUUUAAUUUUUAAAUUUUAAAUUUAGAAUUUAAAAUUAUAAAUUUUAAUUUUGAGAUUACAAAUUAUAAAUUUUAAAAUUUNUUUAUUAUAAUAUUUAAAUAUAAUUUAUUAUAAAUUUUUUUAUAAUAUUUAAAUAUAAAUAAUAUGUAUUAAUAUAGUACAAUUAAUAAUUUUAUAAUGAACAUAAUAUAUUAUAAUAUAUAACAUAUUAUAUUUAUAUAAUUUAGUUUUAAUUCAAUUUAUAAUUUUAAUAAAGUUUGAAAUUAAAUAUUGAAAUAGCACUAUUCCACUAAAAUGGUGGAAUAGCAAAACCCAAGUUAUUCUGGGAUAACCGAGAAUAGCAAGGUUUGACAGGAAUAAAAUAUUCUGGUCGAAAAUCAUCCCGUUUGGCAUAAUAGCGGAAAUAACUUUUGUUAUUCCUGCUUAUAUCCCAAACUUAAAAUCCAAAUUAGGUUUUAAUAACUAAAAAAAUUUAAUGUGGUAGGUGAUAGAAAACUAGUCUUUAGAUAGGCUAGUUGUAUUUUUUUUUUUUUUUUUAGAGAAAGGUCGCAUUCUACCUGGUUCGUUUAUUUCAUUUAGAAAUAAACUUAGCUAGAAAUAUGAAUCAACUAAGAUUCGAACUUGGGUCUCGGGUACCAACCACUAGGCUAGUUGUAUGUAGAUGUAGUAUUGCUAUGAGUUCCAACUAAGAUUCGAACUUACAAAGUUACAACUCUAUUGUUGUAAUCUUACAACUUAGCUCAUCUAAAGGCUAUAAUCACCAUAUUAGUCUUAUUAAUUUUUUUAACACUAAAAAUCAAAAAUAGAUUGUUUAAUUUUUUAAACUAUUGGAUCAAGGGUUGUAAAGAUUAUAGAGUUGUGUUUCUAGAAAAAGUGUGAAAAUUUCUUUUUCGAGAAAAUAAAUUUUUAUGAAAAAACUUCUUUUAAAGCUUUUCGCCAGUUUAGUUUCAAAGAAAACUAACAUUUUUGAAAAGUUAUUUUUCAAAUUUGAUGGAAAAAUCGUGUUUUCGUUUCCUAAACAAAACUCAAAAAAGAAAAACACUAGCUUUCCAUAAAAUUAGAAAAGUAGCUUUCUAAAAAUAUUAAUUUUUUAAUACCAAAUAGGUGAAAAUUUAAAAAUAUUUUUUUUAAAUUUUUUGGCUAAAUUAGAGAAGACCCCAUUAUAAAUAUUUGCUUGUUUACUUUUUCUUCUUAAUUUUUAAAAAUUUAUAUUUUACUCUCUCAAUAUUUCAACUUAUUGUAUUUAACUCCUCUAUCAGGGUUCCAUUACUAUUCUAUUCAUUUCUUAUAAUUUAUAAUAAAAAUGACCUUUAAAAUGACAUAUUAUUUUUUUCUUUAUAGAGGAACUAAGGAUAGUUUUAUCAUUUUGCCCGCUCCAUUAACAUCGUGUCCCCUGAAAAUAUUUUUGAAAUUUUUAAGGGACAAAAUAUAGAUUUUUAAAAGUCAGAGAAGAAUAAUAAAAAAAAAAAGUAUUUACAUAAAAAUUUUCUAUAAUUUAGUUUUUAUUAAAAAAAUUAUCGAAGAAUAAAAUAGUCCUUAACACCCAGUUUGGUUCGAGUACAUAGGGCUCCGUUUGGAUCGGGAAUUAGUAGGAACUAGUUAUACCGAGAAUAGGUACAAGUAUGGAUUUUUGUAGAAAUAAGGGUAUUUUUUUGUUUGGAUGAAAUUGUGAGUAUAAGCUGGAACUAGAAAAAUUGUGUUUGGAUGAUUUUUGAGAAUAAGAGGAAUAAUUGGUAGUUAUAAAUAGAAAACAAUAAUAUUAUUCCUAUAAUUGAAUUUUAAACUUAUAAUUUUAAAUUUAAAAUUUUAACUUUUAAAUUUUAAAAUUAGAUAUUAAAAUUUUUAAUUUUAAAUAUCAAAAUUUAAAUUUCAGACCAAAUUUAAAUUUCAAAGUUAUAAAAUAACAAAUUUAAAAUUUAAAAACUAACCAUAUCAAAUUUAAAAUUUAAACUUUAAUAAAAUUUAAAAUUUUAAUUUAUUAAUUAUAGUUAUAAAAUUAUAAAUUUUAAAAAUUUAUAUUUAAAUAUUCUCUCUCUCUCUCUCUCUCUCUCAAGUGGGUUGGAACAAGCUUGGGAACAAGCUUGGCAACGGGUGAUCCGUUAUGGUGGGAACACUUGUUCUCACUAUGAAAAAAUUGUGUUUGGGUAUAAAGGGAGGGAUAUCCUCCUUAUCCCCCUUUUAUAUCCGAGCCAAACGGGGUGAGGGGGAAUAAGAUCUUAUUCCUUUCAUUUGUAUCCAAACAAGAAUUGGAAGAGUUAGGAAUUAUUAUUCCCACCCCUUAAUGGCAUGUUGUUUUGUAAUUUUUAUUUCAAAAUAUUAAAUUAUUUAUCUCCAUAAUUUUUAUUCAAUUUUAUUAAUCAUUUUUAAACUCACCAAUUUAAAUGCAUAUUACUUUACUUAAAAAAUGAAAGUGGAAAGUUUAUACUGCCAUAGGUUCAGAAAGCGAGAUAGUUAUUUCUUAAUUUUUACUACCAAUUAUUUCUCUUAUUCUUCUUAAUAAUUCAAACACUAUUUUUUUUUAUUUCUGCCGAUACUCUAAUUUUUAUCUAAAUAAAAAUUUAUUUUAAAUUUUACUUAUAUCCGAACCAAACAACCGAUGGCUACGGAGAUAACUCUAGUAUAAUUAACCCAAUUACUUAACCCAAUUAAUUAAUUAAUUAAUUAAUUAAACAGAAUAAUAAUAAGAGGGGUAAGGAAGGGUUCUUUUUCUCCCUUCGUCUCUUUCGUGCCGCAAUCGGACCGCUGUGUUCGAUUUGGAUUGAGGCGUGCUUCGAUUCGACGCUUCCCGACCUUUCCUCCAUCGCCCGCCCCCCUCCCCCUUUUUCUCGUCGUCUUCGUCCUCUUCCUCUUCCUCUUCCUCGGUGCUACCGAAACCAAAAACCCUAGACCAAUCAGGAGGCGACUUCCCUCGGCAAUCGAAUCCCUAGUUUCGGAUCUCCCUUCCUGCCCUUCCGAUCGGAGCUUCCACGGGGUUUUGGUUUUAGGGCUAGGGUUUCGUGUCUCUGAUCCGCGGAGAUGGAGCCUCGCGUGGGGAGCAAGUACCGCCUCGGUCGCAAGAUCGGGAGCGGUUCCUUUGGGGAGAUCUAUCUAGGUUCGCGCUGAUCUUGGGAAAUUCUUCGUAAUUUUUUUGAGCUUUUAGAAGGAUAAAGAUUUGGUUUUUACGGGUUUCUGAAUGAUGUUCUGGUUACUUUGUAUAGGUACUAAUGUUCAGACGAACGAGGAGGUCGCGAUUAAGCUUGUAAGUAUCGUAGCUUCGGGAGAGCAGUGCUUGUGUGUUGGGCCUGCUUAAUAUUGAUGUUAGAUCUUUGCUUUAUAUGUGUCAUCCCUUUUUUCUCCUACUAUUAGGUCAUGUGCCAGUUUUAGGUGUUCAAUCUUGAUUAUUAAUGUUUGUAGUGGUGUUAGAUUUCUUUUGCUAGCUUUGUAGAUUACUUCCGAGGCAAUUAGGAAAUAGUUGUGUGUAUGUUGAUUUGCUCCAUUAUUUACCUUUGUUUGUUGUAGAUAUAUGUAGAGCGUUAUAUGUAAUUUUUUUACUACCUUCUUUAAGUCGAGAUCGGCAGAUCCUAGUACUUUUUGCCCCGCUUUAAUCAGUUCUUGUUUCUAGCUUCGCCGAGCUCCACCCUAUGUUAACCGCAUGACAGUUCUUUAUUGUCAAGUUUGAUUCAAACAAAAUACAAGUUUGAUUUGCUUGGUUAGAACUUUAGAUGAGUCUUUGCUAAGACGGAAUAACAGUUGCUACUCAAAAAAGGAAAAAGAAAAAGAAAAAAGUAAAAAAGACAACAGCUAGCAAGGAUGCCUAUUUGAGCUGUGAUUUUAAUGUUGGAGGUUGUAAAAGGUCAUUCUAAAAAUACAGGCGCGACAGAAGUGGAAGACUCCAGAUCCAGAGAGAGCUGGUGAAAUAGAAGAAGGGUGUUAUCUAUAGGGUUAGACUGAAGAGUACAUUAGAGAUAGCUGUUGACUAGGCAAAAUCCAACUGCCAUUCCAUAGAGGAAGUAAUUAUUUUUUAGUAUCUAUUAUUUACCACGCCUGUGGGUUGUUGAUGGGGACAUCACAAACCUGCAUUGUUGCUAUUUCCAGGAUUAGGCUGCUUAUAGGGGUAUUGCACUUGCUCAGUUUUAGGUGAUCUUCCAUAUGGUUAUAACAUGUUAGUGUGGGAUUGCAUGGAUAUUUACCGACACAAGAUGCUCCUUGAUCCUCUUGUCAAGAUUUAAGGAUGUCUUCAUAUUUUUUCAAUGACAGUUUCUCUUUAAACUGCUUGCAUUAUUGUCUUCGUGAAUGAUAUCUGAAUUGUAUGCAAAUUUAUUUUUUUAAUGAAUAUCUCUAGUAUAUAAUUCUUGCAACUACCUUGUACCCUUUUCUUGUCCUAAUGUAGAUUAUUCAGUUUCUUAUGCUUGUUAUAAUUAUAAACCAAUUUUUUUUUGUUGAAUUUGCUUUUGCUAUUGUGAUAAUGUUCUGGUGGUUUAAAAUGACAUACACUUUCUUUCUUUCAGGAAAAUGUGAAGACAAAACAUCCUCAAUUACUAUACGAGUCAAAGCUGUAUAGGAUUCUACUAGGAGGAAGUAAUAGAACAUUCUCCUUCCUUUUUGACUUGUUACUGACAAAUAAUGGCUUUUGAUACAUAUACUCUUCCAUUUUAUUAUGGUUUUGGCAGCUGGAAUUCCAAAUGUGAGAUGGUUUGGCGUUGAAGGAGACUAUAAUGUCUUGGUGAUGGACUUAUUGGGACCAAGUCUCGAAGAUCUUUUUAACUUCUGCAGCAGAAAACUCUCGUUAAAGACUGUUCUGAUGCUUGCAGAUCAGAUGGUAACGUAUUACCGUACAUGCUGUGAUUUACCAUAACCGCUAUAUUUUCUUGUGCUAUUUUAUUUGUCCAAUACGCCUCUGCAUAAUCUGUUGCCACUGUUUUUCUUUUGUACAUGUGUCCCUCAUGUUGGAACUAUUUGGCUCAUGUAAUAGAAGGCCCUCUUUUCUUUGUGGUGCUUUGUGCCUUGUCAUUUGUGUUCAUUUCAUGCUAACAUAUUUAGUGAGGAAGUGCACCUUCUCUUUUAAACAUCGUUUGUAAUUACACGUCUAUCUUAGUAUUUUCUUCUCAGCAUGCUCAAAUUUUGUUCUUCGUUUUCUUUAUGUUGAUUUUACUUUUUGUAACUCGUGUUAACUUUUCUACUUAGAUUAAUCGAGUGGAAUUCGUCCACUCAAAGUCUUUUCUGCAUCGAGACAUUAAGCCGGAUAAUUUUCUAAUGGGUCUUGGAAGGCGAGCUAAUCAGGUGGCCUAUUGAAUUUCCUUGAAUGUAGUUCUUUUUUAGCACUUUUUACUGUCGAUUUUAUGAUCUGUUUCAUUUUGUUACUUUCCUUUUUUCCUCUCCAGGUCUACAUUAUUGAUUUUGGUCUUGCCAAGAAGUAUAGGGAUACUUCAACUCACCAGCACAUACCAUACAGGUAUCUAUUGCAUUCCUUAUUUUCUUUGGUCUGCUGUCUUGAGCGUGUGAAAAGAGUGAUGAUUCAAGUAGCUAAAUACACCACUUCAUUUUAUAUUUUAGAUUUUGUGAAUGGUAUGAAUCUUGAAAGUGUAAAUCUUUUUCCCCAUAAAAAUAUGGGUUGUCAACAGAGAAACAGAAAUUCUAAAUCAUUUCUUCUUGGAUAUGCAAUAUGUUUGUUGUAAUAUCAAUAUAGAGAGCUGAAGCAACAAAUUUGUUCCAUUGAUACCACAUUAUUAUAAUGGUAUCACUAACUUGACUUCUGGUGUUUUUACACUUAAUAAUUAGCAAUCCCUUAUUAAUUAGCUAUUAAACCAGAUCUUCAUAUAAAGUUUUCGCUGAUAAUGCAGAGAGAACAAAAAUUUGACUGGGACUGCUAGGUAUGCCAGUGUGAACACCCAUCUGGGCAUCGGUAAGUAGAGUGUACAUUAUACCUGAUUUCUGAAGCAUUUUAUUGGAUAGCAAGCAUUCUAAAAUGCUUCCUUCUGAAUUAUUGCAGCAGACUUUUUUGUUUUUUUGUUUUUUACUUUUCUUCUUGCAUUAGAUACUUUCAUCAGAUGCUUUGUUUAGCUUGCAUUCUUAUUCAUAUUUUGAAUACUUUUUUUUCUCUGGUGCUUAGAGCAAAGCAGGCGGGAUGACUUGGAAUCUCUUGGAUACGUACUCAUGUAUUUCUUAAGAGGAAGGUUUGUUAUCUUAUUCAUUUUCCUACCCUUUAUUCCUUUUCUUCUGUUAAAUAAGAUUUUUUAAACCAUAUGGUACUUUUGCUGUCUUCAGCCUUCCAUGGCAGGGCUUGAAAGCUGGAACCAAAAAACAGAAGUAUGAAAAGAUUAGUGAGAAAAAAGUUGCCACAUCAAUUGAGGUGAUCUCUUUGUUACCUGGUGAAUUGAACACAACAUAUUGUUUCUAUUACAAUUCAGUGAUGAUUAAGAAUUUUUGAAUGAUUUUCAGGCUUUAUGUCGCGGAUACCCUACUGAAUUUGCAUCAUACUUUCACUACUGUCGUUCACUUCGCUUUGAUGAUAAGCCCGAUUAUUCUUACCUUAAGAGAUUGUUCAGAGAUCUUUUUAUCCGCGAGGGUUUGUUUCCUAUUACGAUUUUCAUUUGAAGAUAUCAAAGAUGAAAAUUUAUGAUAACUGCACAAUAUGUGGAUAAUUUAGCUACUUGAGGAUGGUGAUUUUCUGUGAAUUUUUCUGUUUUUGUAGGAUUUCAGUUUGAUUAUGUGUUUGACUGGACCAUUUUGAAGUAUCAGCAGUCGCAGAUUACCGGCGCUCCUCCUCGUGUUCUUGUGAGCCACAUGCUUAAUAUAUGUUUGUAUUUUACUUAUUUUCUUCACUAGAAGUUUCUAAAUCUCCUCUAAUUGUUAGGGACAUGGUGCUGGACCAAGCUCUGGUGUGGCCCCUCCGAUGGUAAAUGAUAGGCAAUCAGGUAGUGCAUCUAACAUCCUCAUUAUUUUCUAAGUUUUCCUUUUUCUUGAAAUUUAUGCAACAAGCAACUGUUCCUAGAACUGAUCAAAUGUUAAACUCUUAAAAACAUAGUCAUUCAAGAUUUUUGUUUUAGUUUGACUACUAGGCAUCUGAUUUAUAUUGAUUCCAGUGAUCAUUAAUCGAGAUUUAUAUGCUCUUAGUUUGAUGAGAAGUGUUUAUCUUAUUAUUUAUUUUGAAAACUUGAAUACCUCAUGGAGGAGUAAUCUGAGCUGUUGAAUAUUUUGUUGUAGGUGGUGAAGAAGCAAGGGCGAGUGGCUGGUCAGCAAUGGACCCUUCGAGGCGGCGCGCAACACCUCCAGCUGUGAAUAGUGGCAGUUUGUCAAAGCAGAAGACUCCUGUGGUGAAUGAUUCAUCCGGUACUAAAGAUGCCAUGGUGAGUUCUUAUUUUGUUUUGAUGGCUUUUCCUGCGUGUUGCUAUUUAAUUUUGUAAUCAUUAGAUCAGACGUUGUUGGGCUUUUAGAAGAUCAGUUAGUGUCUUUACUUCUUUUGUGCGCGUUAUUGUGAUAUUCGAGAUUUAAUCACUAUUGUUGGGCUAUAUCUGGUUUCCUUGUUGCUCGUGGCAUUUCCCUUUUUUAUGAUUGUUUAAGUGUGUUUUCCUGCAUAUUUUUUUUCUCGAUCUGAUGUCUGUGACACUCAACUAUAAGGCUAUGCGCAUUCUACUCAACUUUUCAACUUUGAUCCGCCAUGUUAAUUUUGAUCAAGAUAUUCCUUUGGAAUAUUUCACAAGUAGUUCCUGAGAGAUGUUAAGUGGUUAUUGUUUGCAGUAUAAUUCCUGACCGUGAAAGCUUAUAUGGUGUAGUUAUCCAGCUCAACUUUUCUUGGACGGUCAAGUGGAUCCUCAAGGCGAGCAGCUGUUUCUAGCAGCCGGGAUGUGGCAGGUCCAGAAAUUGACCAAUUACGAACUCGUACGACAGACGCAAGCCCUGGAACUUUCCGAAAACUCUCCGGUCCUCAGAGGAGCUCACCUCCGGUCGGUUCUGCCGAGCCCAAGCGCUCAUCUUCUGGCCGGCACUCGUCCAACAUCAGGAACUACGAGUCAACUCUUAAAGGCAUUGAAGGCCUUAAUUUUGACGGCGAUGAGAGGGUCAAGUACUAAUGAGCUAUAACUCGCUGAAUGAGAAAUUGUCAUAUUUGUCAACACUCUGAUUGGAGGAAGUUACAUACUUGGUAUGUCCUUUUUCCUUGAGGAGAGGGGAGAGAGGGUUAUGAAGAGGCCGGGUGGGGAUGUGGUUGGGGUUUGAAGUGCUUUACUGAGGUAUUUUUCCUGGAGAUGGCUAAUAAGACUAUGAGAAGGGUGGGUGUGAGGAGAAGGGAGGUGGUUUUGUACAUUUGGAGCUCUUUUAUUUCCUCAGGCCUCGUUAUUAUUAUUCUAUUUAUUUUCCUCGGAUAUUCUUUGUUAGGGUGGAAUUUACAUCCCAUGUUGUUUCCACAAAGUGUGACAAUGGUGUUAAACCAUUGGAAUUGUAUUUAAAAUGAAGUGUUCAGGACUGCAGUUAGGAUUCGUGUUUCUCUUUGCUGGAUAGUUAACUUGUACCUCUUUUUCUAUCUGAGUGAUGAAUCAUAGUUCUUACCUCCUUAGAUGUUUCUAUAUUGAAUCAUUUUAUCUGCGGAUCAUUAUUAUUUUUAUUCUUUUCCCCAUCAAAUAUGGAUUUCUACAUCAAGUUUGUUGGCCAGGUUAUGUGUUGCGAUUCUUUCGUAACAGAGUUUUGUAUUGUGGAUGGUGCUUUUAAAAAUAUAUAUAUAUUUUUAUUUUUUUUAGGGUUUUCUGGAGCAACAGAAGGACUUAUAUAUCAUUCUUUGAGCAUGAUAACUAUUGGUCUUCUAAAUUGCUGAGCAUAUCUUAGUUUGUUCUUGUAUAUGAUUUUGCAUUUUCCUCAUUUUGUGCUAUUUGUGCCAAUCUUAAAAGCACUUUACAGGAUGGUACUUGCAGAGCUGAGAUUGAAGCUACAAUUGCAAAGCUUAUUGGAGAAAAGGUUUAUUAGACCUAGUGUAUUGUUUUAGAGAGCGUCGGUGUUGUUUGUGAAGAAAAAUGAUGAAUCAAGAGUUGAAUAAAAUGACUACUAAGCAUAAUAAAGUAUCCGUAUUAAUGACUUUUUAUGUAUUUUAAGAUAAAUUUGCAAUCUGAAUAUUACCAAAGAUGUUCUUAAGAUGGUGUUCAGAAUAGGGUCUGAGCAUCAUAAGUUUAUAGUAAUGCCGCUUGGAUCGGCAAAUACUUCAUCAGUUUUUAUGGAUAUGAUGAACGUGUAUUCAAACUGUACUUAAAUUUGUUUAUAGUGAUGUUUAUUGAAUUUUGGGGGAGUAAAAACUAUAUGCCAAGCUAUAGAUGAGGGUGUGUGACAAGGUUGAAGCUCAGGACUACUAGCAUUGGUAGUUCGGCAUCUUGUGUAGAUUACUAAUGAGGGGAAAGUACUUCGAGUUUUCUACAAAAGGUAUUUUAUGUGUUGCCUAUAAGAAUCAACGGAAGUGUUGGAAUCAUGUACAUCAAUACAUCAACAGUUUGCGAUAGAACCUUUUCUCUUAGUGUUGAAUCUGAUUUUUCAUAAUGGCUCUAAAAUGUCGGAAAUAAGAUAUUUAAUAUCAACUUAUUUGGUAUGAAAAUUUAUUGUGUCGGUGAUUUGGGGAGAGGGUAUAUUUUUACCAAGGAGGUAAUUAUCUUAUUCUAAAACAUAAUUUGAAAGUCAGAACAUGAAAACAUGGCCCAUUGAAAAAGUGAUGCUAGGGCUUCCCACUUUUGCCAGUCAAUUCAACCUUUUGAAGCCAAGUUCCUUCACUUCGGAGUGUUCCACACUGUACGGUAUGUCUUUUUCUUUUGGAAAAAUGGAAUAAUUCAAGGAACUAUAACCCUAAAAAUGCGAUCACAUCACUAUAUCAGCCACUUUUGCACCACUUCACGAAUGAAAGCGGCAACGAAACACCCACACCGCCGGGUUCUAAUUUUUAACACGACAGACGAGUCGGUGCCGUGGCACCCUUGCUUCUAAUUUUUAACACGACAGACGAGUCGGUGCCGUGGCACCCUUGCAUCGCCGACUUCGACACGGUAAUUGAACAACACGCUCGGCCGAUGAAGUCGGCGACGGGGCACUGAUCCGGCGCCGAGAUUAGCAGGGUAACGACUCGUCUUUUUGUUACGUACGUUCGCAACUUCAUUUCCGAGGCAGUGGGAAGCGAGAGUUUUAGAGAGAGAGAGAGAGAGAGAGAGAGAGAGAGAGAGAGGGAGCUUGCGAGUCGCGAGAGAGAAGGGCCAUGGCGGGAGGGGGAGCGCUCCAACUCCUCCCCUCGAUCCCCUCCACCGCUCGCUUCCUCCUCCGCUCCGCCGCCGCGUUUCGCCCAGCUUCCCGACGCGCCGCCGCCGCCGCCGCCGCCGCCACCGUCGGCGGCGUCUCUGGCCCGGCGCCUCGCUCUCCCCCUCGCCCCUCCUUUGUGCGUGCUCCCCAAGCCCGCCUCCAAUCCAGUACGCUCUUCUCUCUCUCUCUAGAUCUCUCUCUCUCUAGCUCUAGAGAGAGAGAGAGAUCUCUCUCGCUCGUUUUUUUUUUUUUAACUGGGUAACGCUUUUGGUGGGAACGUACGAAUCUUUACAUAAAGUAAAGCCUUUGUUAAUAUAGUUACCCACACUUUAUAAAAAGUUUCAAUUUUGUUGCCUAUUCAAAUAACAAUAUUACCUUUCCUCUUAAAGGUACUAAUUUUACCAGCUAAUUUUGUAGUACUUUUUGAAAGAGCUGUUUCGAACUUAUAAAAUUUUUAACUUCACUACCCAACCUAACUUUUCUAUAAUAUAUGUCAUGAGAAUAUAUAAUAUCUUAUCCAAAUUGUUACGAAUGCUGUAAAGUUGGAUAGUAAAAUCAAAAUUUGUAAGGUUCAGGUAAAGUUCGAUAUAUUGUAUCAAGAAAUUGAAAGAUGGGAAUUAUAGACAACUCAUUAUUAGAAAAAUAGUGAAUUUGGUAUAGGUAUCGUAAAUUACGUGAUUGAAGCAUCCAUCGAAUUUCUUUUUUUUUUUUGUCUAAUAUAAAAAUUGUACAUAAAACACAUCAUUUUUUCUAAUUGAAUGCAAGGGAUCUGGAAGUUUAGUACAGAUGCAUGUUUUUGAGUUUGCUGACUAGUACUGUCGGAAGAAUCGACAUGAUAAAUUUUGUACGUAAGCGCAGAUGGUGAACUAUAAGAACAACACAAAUGGUUUUGUUAAUUUGAAGAGAGGUGAUUAGGAGGGUAAAUGCUAAGCUAACUAGAUGCAUGGUCUAAUUAUUUUUUUACUUGUAGUUGUAAAAGAUGAAGAGAAUAAGAAUUAAUGUUUGCAGUGCUGUGAACGGCGGCGGAAAACUAUGGCCUCACUUUUUUUAUUCAUUGUCGUGAGAUGGCUCGCUACUUUGUCCGUUUCAGACUUUUCUGGCACGGAGGCUGAGAGCCACGAACCGUUGGGACAGUCUGAAAUAAUCUUUUUAGGCACAGGAACUAGUGAAGGUAUUCCUAGAGUGAGCUGCCUCACUAAUCAGUCGAAGACCUGUCCUGUAAGAUUAUUACCUUUCAAGUUUAUUGCUUUCGCCAAUAAUUUUGAUCUGCAUUAUGAGAGUUGUGUAUAUAUACUUUUCUUUUAAGAGCAAUUUCCUUUUUGCUUUCCCCCUAUCAACUGUUAUUUGAGAUUUUAUCGAACGGCUCUUUUCGCCCUUCGCAGGUUUGCUCAAAAGCAACUGAACCAGGCAAUAGAAAUAGGAGACGUAACACGAGCAUUCUUUUACGUUAUACCAGCUCUGCAGGAAGAUUUAACAUUCUCGUCGAUGCUGGCAAGUACGCAUUAUGUAACCUCCCCAUUUCCCCCUACCUUUUCUCUGUGGGCUUCAAUCUCAUCCUGGGAAUUAUACUAUUAUUAUUUUUAAUUUUUAAUUUUUAAUUGCAUUCUAUAUAUAAUCUAUUUGUUGAUAAGAAACAUCUGGCAUGAGGAGUCAUUCUAAGUUAAUUAAUUUUGCAAAUGAUCGAAUGCAGAUAGUUUGUUUACUGCAGUAAAGGUUCUGUCGAAGUAUUCUUCGUCUUCAAUUUAACUAUCAGAAAGAAAUCCAGCUUUGUGUUAAUUUGAUUAGCUAGCCCUUGUAUAAACUGGAUUUCUAGCUAAUGCAAUGUCCAUUCUUUCAUAUCAGCUUUCUAAAAGGACCCAUAUCAAUCCUCAUCAAUCUUCUAUGUUGUAUGGUGAUUAUAAUGGCAUGUAAGUUUUAAGACACAAAAACCUGGAUCGUGCAAGAGAAUCCGAAGGAUGUCUGGUAUAGUGGGUGCAGAAGGGCGUAGUUUUUGAGAAUUUCAAAUAAGCCUGAAGAGAUUGAAAUAUACAAUAAUGUAAAUCUUGAUAAUUUUCAUAUAUUUAUAUAUAGAUGCUUAUGUAAGGUGAUUGAAGCUGUGUAAUACUUAUUGCUAAAACUAGCAAGCCAUUUAUGUCCGUCAAAUGUAUUUUCUUAUUUCCGAUGUUAAAAAUCUCCCCUCAGCUUUGCUUUAUCAAAUAGUCAUCAUGUUGUUAUUUAUCUUUUUUUUCCCCUUUUUUUUUUUUUUUUUUUUUUUCUCUUCCCUACCUACACUUUCCUGAAAAUCAGGACAAAGUGCGUCUUCAGUAUCUAGAGGAUCUGCAGAUCACAAUAUUUUUUAGUUGCAAUUAAUCUAUCCAUGUUGUUAUUCACCUCGAUGCUUGUGUAACCAUCUCCAAAUUUAUGAAUUGGACAUCACAUUUUACAACACAUUUAGGGAGAAAACAAGAUAACAAAAACAGUAAAGGCACUUGUUGAGUAACCUAUUAUUAGAAACUCACUUCUGAUAUUGUUUCUCUGUUAAUGGUAUUCUACAGAUUUUUCUACCAUAGUGCCCUCCAGUGGUUUCCUACUUUCGGGUAAGAGUUACAUUUUUAUUCUUGGCCAGCCAAUUUGCCAUGGCUCAAUAAAACUAAUUGAACUGUUGACUAAUGACUGCACAUUUGCAAAUACCAUUGACUGUUAAUUUAGUUUUCUCUGUAGUUUCUUCUUGAUUCACCUGUAAGGCGUAGUUUGGAUUGGACAAAUAUAUUUCUGUUUGCAUCUUCUGUUAACUUUAUACUCAACAUGGUCUUCAUAUGAUCUUCUGUUCUUAUUAAUUACCAUUUGUCAGGUUACGACAAAUUGAUGCAGUCCUCAUCACCCAUUCUCAUGCAGAUGCAAUUGGAGGUAUCUAUUUAACAUUAAGUUUUUUUUUUCUUUUAUACUACUAGAAAAUGAUUUUUGAUUCAAGGUUGGCGAAGAUUUUCUUUUUUAGCUUGAGCCUCUUGUAAUCUUACUGGCAAACUAAUUGAAAAAAAUUAUUCAUGGAGUGUGAAUGAUCAGCUCUGUCUUUUGAUAGUUGUCGAGACUAUUGAGAGUGAUGUCCAAAUACCGACGACCUUUGAUGUCGCUAGCGCUAAACACUUUACUUCUGUGGAGUUUUUCCACAAGUUAUAUUGUCAAUUGUUGUUGGUGUUUUUUAUUUUUUUUAAUUUCUAUCUUCUGAAAAUACAUAUUUGUUACGAAAAGAUGUUUUCGUAGAAUAUUUGGACGGAAGAUAGACAUCAUUAUUAUUAUUAUUUUCCCAUAAUUACUUUUUGCACCUUUUUCUGGUACAGGUCUUGAUGAUCUCCGUGACUGGACAAACAAUGUCCAACCCUACAUCCCGAUUUAUGUGCCCAAACGCGAUUUUGAGGUUCAAAAGUACUUUUCUCUAAUACGAUCAGUCUUAUUCUUAUCAAAAUCGAGUGAUUGAUUAAAUAAUUAUUUUCAUUUUAUUGCAGAAAAUGUUGUAUUUAACUUCUCCCGCGUGAUGUUCUUUGGGUGUGUUUCAGGUAAUGAAGAAGACCCAUUACUAUUUAGUCGAUACAAGUGUAGUAGUACCUGGUGCUGCAGUUUCAGAGUUGCAAUUUAAUAUAAUUGAGGAGGAACCGUUUGUCGUUCAUAACCUGAAGGUUGGUCUUAGCAAGAGGAGGUUACUUUUGAUAUCAAACUUAAUUCUUGAAGUUACAUGCCAGCUGCUCUGCCAGUUGAUAUAUAUAUAUAUAUAUAUAUAUAUAUAUAUAUAUAUAUAUUUUUUUUUUCCCACACAAGUUUUCUUGAUCAAUUAGGGGUCUGCAUUCAUUCUUUUAGCUCUCCAGAUAUGGUAAAUCAGCCUGCUAAUCUAAGAAUUCUAUUAACCAAUUAGAUUGAGGAACUGUUCUCAUUGCUAGUUUUGUUACUGUGAUGUAUUAAGAAAGCUAAAAGGGAAAGACCGAAAGACGUGGAUGAAGGUCGUAAUAUAGUGACAUGGGGUUUGACAAUUGGAUAGCUUGGGGAAUAUUAACAUAUAUAAACUGGUCGUGAAUAAGUAUCCAAAACCAGUUACCUAACAAAUUAUAACUGUAUGGUAUAUGCUAUCAUUUGUUUUGGCUUCUCUGUAAGAUGAAUAUGGUGAUUUAUGUUCUUCCCCUAAGAACGCUUCCACUGGUUCAGGUGACUCCUUUACCUGUUUGGCAUGGUGGCGGCUAUCGUUCUCUUGGUUUUCGCUUUGGUGAUAUUUGCUAUAUAAGGUAAGCCAUUUUUAUGCACCAUGGAAAUGUUUUUCGCCCCUUCGUAGUUUGUGUUCCUUAACAGCUAUUUGCAAUGCAGUGAUGUCAGUGACAUACCGGAAGAAACUUACGAGCUUCUCAAAAAUUGCAAGCUUCUUAUUUUGGUACUAUUACUUUGUUUGAGUGUUACUGGUGGAUACAUUGCAGUUUCUAAUAUCUCUAAUAUUGAUCUUUGCAAAAUUCUUCAUGUUCAUUCUAAUAAUGAUUUUUUUUUUUUUUUUUAAGGAUGCACUAAGACCGGACCGUUCUUCUUCAACACAUUUUGGUUUACCAAGGGUUAAUAUCUUCUCUAUAUCUAAAUUAGUCUGUUAUAUUAUGUUUUGCCAUUUUUACUUUUUUCUGAAACUCUGUUUACUUAAUUCUCAGGCUCUGGAUGAAGUCCGGAAAAUCAAACCAGCGAGAACUCUUUUCACUGGUAUGCUUCUGCUGAUUCUGCUUUCAAAUCACAAAGUGGUGAUUCUUAAUUUUAUCACAUGAUACUAUCUUACAAUCUUGUGAUUGAAAAAAUGACCAAUUUCCUGAAAUGAACCUGUACAAAAGUUGUUGAUGAUAUUUCACAUUGUUUAUGCUGAUUGCGAGUAUUUGACAAGGUAUGAUGCAUUUGAUGGACCACGACAAAGUAAACGAAUAUCUCGCCAAGCUGAUGGAAACAGAGGGUCUCGAUGUCCAAUUGAGCUACGAUGGCCUCCGCGUACCUGUAAACGUCUAGACUACGGCAUUCUCUCAAAUUUUCUUUACUGAUUCUUUUUUUCCACAACAAUAAUGUUUAAUCUACAUGAAGCUUGUGAAAGAAAUAAAUUUGUCUCAAUUUUGAAUCCUUUAAGAAGGGGUCAGAUGAUCAUGCCAUGUAACCUGCUCAGAUUAUUGGCCUAAUGCCUGCCACUUUGUAUUGAUUCUUUUGCAUAAUAAGAUUUUGUGGAUGGUGAGAAUAGAGCCACUUUGUAUUGAUUCUUUUGCAUAAUAAGAUUUUGUGGAUGGUGAGAAAACUAUUCUUGGUUCAUAGUAUUUUCUGUGAAAAAGUUGUGAAGAAAAAGUAAAGUACAUUGCAACAUAAUCUAACAUGCAUAGUUGCUGAAGGUCACUGACAGAUCCUGUUACAGAGUCAUUUACUAUAAUGAAUCAGUUAAAACCAUGAAAAACAAAGUAGACAACUGCAUGAGGGGAAAGAUUGCUGUUAAUGAAGUUAAACAAAUUAUCUGAAAGUGAUCACUAUUUGCUGCACAUCAGAUCUUCAUUAUAAAUUCCCCAGUACAUAUUUACAGAAACAAACCAAACAAUAAGAGUACAAGUGUGUGUACGACUAUCAAAAUAUACGAUGAUUCUCGACUGAUUCCGAUUGAAACAAUUCAUUUGCUGAGCUUAGACAUAGAACAAAAAUGUCUGAGGUCCUCUUAAGAAUUCAAAAGAAAAGGAAAAAUAUAUUUUAAGGAAUCUUUUGGAUGAUUGUACAAUGAGGAAGAUUGCAAUUACUACCCCAGGUCUUAAGCUGAAGAACAGGAGAUGCUGUGUGUCGAUCUGCGGCUCGGCUUUAUUAAGUUCCCACUUGAUAAGGGAAACACAAGUAGCUGAAACCACGUUCUCUGUUUGCGAGGGUUAUUUGUGAAAAGAAGCCAAACUGGUUAAAUGUUCGUGGAUCAAGCUUUAAAAUGGCCCUUCAAUGUAUAGCUUUAAAGUAGAAAGGCUCUUCUUCCACGUUCUCUGUUUGCGAGGGUUAUUUGUGAAAAGAAGCCAAACUGGUUAAAUGUUCGUGGAUCAAGCUUUAAAAUGGCCCUUCAAUGUAUAGCUUUAAAGUAGAAAGGCUCUUCUUCCAUUUAACAGCACAUUAUUGAUAUUCAAAUCUCCUCAACUUUUCCUUUCUCCAAAAAUGCCUGAUAUUGAGCAUGCCGAGAAGCUGGUAAUCCUUAUUCCUGGACAUGCAUGUUCUUGCAGACAAAGAAAAGGAAAUCUUAUCUACAAAAUGCUUUCGCCACCCUCCGAACCCGUUUGAAAUCUUUGUUCAAUCCCAUGCUCGCUUGAGCUUCUCCCCGAUAAGUUCCUCCCUCUAUCCCAAAACCAUGCUCCUCUACUUGUUCUCAAAGGGCCUGAACUCGAAAUCCUCCUGAAGGAACCAGUCGCAUCCCUCGUAAAACGCGCUGAGGUACUCAACACGUUAGAAGAGGAUAAUUUCCUUUCUGCUUCCAUGUCCAAACAUCCGCUGAGUCUCAAUUCCGUGUCUGGAGUAUGUGAAUCUUCUCGGCUAAAACUUUCCGACACUUUGUGCUCGUUGCCCUCGUUGCAUACCAGCUUCAGGGCUUGAACCACCUCACCCAUGAACGGUCGUUGAUCGACUUCAGGCUGAACGCACAUUGAGACAAUAGCCGCUACUUUUGCCAAGCUGUCGUAUUUAUUAAUGUCGAGAGAUGGAUCGAUUAUCGUCUCUAAACUCUCUUUACUUGUAAGAAGUGGGCGCGCCCAUGUUACGAGAUUUUCUUGCCCCGGGGGUCGCAACAUAUCUACUGGUUUCCUUCCCGUGAGGAGCUCAAGAAGGACAACUCCGUAGCUGUAAACAUCGCUCUUGACAAGAAGAUGCCCUGUCAUAGCAUAUUCAGGGGCAACAUAUCUAAAGACAAAAAAGAGGGCAACAAGUGAAAUUAGGUGAUAUUUAGAAUUCAUCAAUGGUUGACAAAGAGAAGAAUGAUUUGUUAAACAAUAUUAGAUACCCGAAGGUUCCCAUAACGCGAGUCGAAAUGUGCUCGUGUGCCUCGUCCCGGGCAGCUCUGGCUAGGCCAAAGUCGGAGACCUUAGGGGUGAAAUCAUGCUCCAACAAGAUGUUGCUGGACUUGAAAUCGCGAUGUAUGACACGAGGGUUUGAGUCCUCGUGGAGGUAGGCAAGAGCACGAGCUGCACCGAGGGCAAUCUUAAGCCGUGCAUCCCAAUCAAGUGGAGCGGUUUCUCUAUCCGGUCCUGAUUAUAAUUCACAAUUCAGAUCAGUUCUUAGAAGCUCCGAUUAAACUACUAGUUGCCCAAAGAAGUAAUGUUGGUAUCCUCAAAAUAUAUGUAUGAUAUGUAACAGUUCAAAUUCGCUGUUCCUCACAAAUAUAUCGGUACAUUAAGUUGCAGCAUCAUCCAAUUCAUGGGGGAAGCUGGUUUUGAUAUUAGUAAAGGCUUUUGAAAGAUAAGUAACUUCUGCAAGUUUAAGGGUAUAAAUGUAAGACAUUUAAGUUAUAUAACGGCAUACGCAAAAAUUCAGAUUUGCAGGGAUGUAUAUCUGAAAAGAAAAUUCUGAAGAGCAUGUAUGCAAUUUAAGUGCGUUAGCAAUUACCAUGCAGAUGAGAUUCCACGCUACCGUUGGGAAUGAGUUCAUAGAUCAGACAGUGCAUAUGCUCCUCAGUGCAUAUACCCAACAACUUAACCAAAUUCCUGUGGUGCAGACGGCUCAGCAUCUCAACCUCAGCCAAGAACUCUCUGCUGCCCUGCUGAUCUUCCCUCUUAAGAACCUUUAUAGCCACACACCUCCCGUCAUCGAGAGUCCCUUUGUACACACGUCCAAAACCACCUUCGCCGAUUAUUUUGGACUCGUCGAAUUUGUUUGUAGCUCUUUCCAUCUCCGCAAGGCUAAAUGUUUUUGCCGUGCCCGCACAUGUUGCGAUGCUCGAGGAGAAGGAUGCUGAUGCUGAGCUAGGUUGGCUUCCUAAUGCCCGAGCUCCCGUCCCUAUGAAAUAAAUAAAUAAAUAAAUAAAACCUCCAAUGAAGAGUUCAGCAAUUAGGGUUGAGAACAAAGAGUCGAUGGAAGCUAUAUUCACUUCUUUCACUUCUCAAGCAAUGAAUGACAAAGUUCACGGAUAAAAAAUAAAUUUACGAUGCACGAGUUGAUAAGAAGUUCAUGUUGACAAACAUGACACCUUGGGCAUGAUGAUCCCAUGCCUAUAAUUUUAUUUUGUGUCAAAAAAAGGAGAAAAAUCAAAAUACUCGAUUAAAAUUUCAAGCUAAUCUCAUGAAUAUUCAAUUUCUAGGUAAAAAUUAUUUCUAUAAAGCAUCGUAUCAAACUCUGUAUUCUAUUGCAGCUCAGACAUGUAAACCCAAAAUAGAGCAAGAAGUUCACUGAAAAAUGAUAGAGAAAGAACAGAAAAAGUGUGCGAUUUCACACCCAUUAUGUUGUUUCUACAGCAAGAAAGCUUGAAUUAUGCAUAUGCUCACCAAUUCACAUGCAUUUUCUUCCUAAUGCCAAAAACAUGCAAGAGACUUAAAAGUAAACACCAAUGAAGGGAAUAGGAUGUAUCUACCUUGCGACUUAGCAAAAGAAGUAGUUGGUCCUAGCGGAUGAGAACGAACUAUGCACUUCAAGAAUACCAUCCACGCAGCUCCAACACACAAAACUAGAGCAAAAACAGCCGACAAAAUAAUAAUAACUAUCAGGCUGCCACUUUGUUUUUCUCGAUGCUUUCUCACAUUGGCGGCAAGAGGUCGUAUAGACUUCGGAUUGUUUCCGUUAAUUAAUACCCCAUCUUCACUACUCAUAUCUCCAGGUGCUGCAGGUGGAGACAAAGAAAGGCCUGUAGAUACAUAUAUUAAAAAAGUUAAAAAUCAGGAAAAGCCAAGUAAAACAUGUGUUAUGAAUAUUAAAAAAAAGAAACAUUUUAGGAAGAAGUUCAAUAAAAUCUCUUUGUACGUCAUGAACGAGUAAAUGGCCACAUCUUUGGUUAUGUAAAAACAGAUACCUGAGGUUUUGCAUUCUCUAGAAGUGUGUGUUUUUUUUUUUUUUAACCCGGAACCAAAAUUGUUGGAAUGAGCAUUUUCAAUACUUGUUUCCCUGAUCCAAAUUUAUCCCCCCAACUAAAAAGCCUUAAAAGAUCCGUAUAAGGAGAUGUAACAAUGGAAAAACUUGACAUUAAAUUAUCACUAUUGGACGAUAUAAGAAAACCAAAAUGCACAAAUAUAAGGAAUGAGGGAGCUUCAUGAUUAACCUGGGUAGAUAACAUAUAAAACAUCAUAAUCCCCAAAGUAGGAAGCAUUUAUGAAAACCUCCUUGUGCCAAAACUUCUCAUUAACCAAAAAGAUCGUCGUGUUAUCGAAUUUGUUGCCGAGUGGGAUGAGAUCAAUGAAAACGACAGUCUUCUCAGGCUGCUCAUUUGCGGCAUUUGCUCCCAUGAUUCGGACCUGACUUUGUUUCAUUAACACUCCAUUAGCAAGUUCUUGGGCAAGCUCAGAAACCAAAGUAAAGAACGUGUAUAAGGCAACGUUUAAGCGUAGCCCAACUUUUAUUGGCAACACACAAGCACAUGGCGAUCCUGGUGGGCUAUUUGUCCAAGGAUCUGAGCAUGAUAGCGGUGUACAAUCUGCACAUAAAACCAACAGUACAUCAAUAAAACACUUAAAACUUUAAGGUCGGAUUUAAGAGAAUGAAAGCAAAUUAUUGAUCUUUCGACAAGUUUUGCGGCACAAAUUAGAAAAGUCCACUAUAACUUUGUAAAAAAGAAAGCAUGUGAUUCUUAAACACACCUAAAUUAGGUGGCGGAGGCGGUAAUGUAUUAAUAGGUUCUGGUGAUGGCGCUUCAUGCUUUUCUCGGGUGGAAGCACUGGGAGGGGGCAUGGGAGAUGGAACAGGCCCUAUCAUCAUGAGAGUUUUGUAAGCAAAUGAAAUAAGUAUUAAAGGAUAGAGAAUCCAUAAAAAGAAACAAAAACUUCAAAAAAGAAAAUCAAUAUCUCAACAUACGUCUGUUUAUGGUAGAUGGUAUGUUUAUUGAUGGAGAAGAGGAAGGAGCUUGUCGACUAUCUGCUGAAUGAAAAGGAGCCUGAGAAAUUGAAGGGCCUGAAGAACAGACAAACAGUCCAAAUUUAGAAGCAAAGGUAAUUAUGUUAUGAAAGCUCCAAAUAUAAGCAAUUUUACCAGUUCCUACCUUGAGCAUGGGGUGGCGAAGGAUGAUGCCUUCGAUUAUUCUUGGGGGACGCUGCUGGAGGACGUGAAGGAGCCGAAGACAGCAAAAAGGCUUUUCAUUAAGUCAUUUUGGAAGUUAAUAAUACACUAUUAGCAAAUUUAUCCAACCUGGAGAUUCCGAUAUAUUCGGCUGGAAUGGAGCAUGUGCGGGCUCUGGUGUUCCUCUUCCUUUGUGGUUAUGAGUUGUAGAAACAGGUACAGGUGCAGGACUAUUAAGUGUUCUUCCCGAAGGAGAUCGAUUAGGUGAAUUCAAAGGUGCAUGUAUAGUUUGUGGUGGUAUCUUUGCUUCGUGUGGAGAAGGGCUUAUCAGAGGGGAAGAAACUGCAUUAAAGAAAUCGGCUCUCCGUUAUUAUAAUUUUCUCAUGAUAAAGGGAUAAAAUUUCAUUUGCAGCCCACAAAUGAAUGUCUACUUUAUUUGAACUAGCAAAGAGAUUGUAUUCGGCAUCAUUAUUUAUCUUUACAAGAAGGAAGAGAGUGAUUAAUAGGGAACUUUUAGUCCCUGUGAUGAAGAAAAAGUGUACAUGAUGAAAAUAUUUUUAACCUAGAAGGAGAAUAUAUAUAUAUACCUUUUGUACGGGAAUAAUUUAGAUGUGAUGAAUGGGUAGAUGGUUCCUUUGGAGGUGACGCAACUGGAUUGGUGUGUCUCGCACUAUUGUUGACUUGGGGAGUCGAUACUGGAGAAGGAGCAGGCCCUGCAUGCAAUAAACAAGGAAUAGCUCAUCAAUAUGAAGAGCACUAGUUGGCAUUUUCUAGCGAAGGACUAAGGAUAGCUAUGCCUUGUAGAUGUGAAGAAGUUGGAGCGGAUAAAUUGGUAGAAAGUUUGUAUACCUUUUAUGUGGGAUGAAUUUACAGGUGAUGAAUGGCUGGAUGAUUCUUUCGGAGGUGCUGCAACUGGAAUGUUGUGUGUCGAACUACUGUUGGCAUUGGGAGUCAAUGCUGGAGGAUAAGCAGGUCCUGCAUGCAAUAAAUAGAGAUAACUCAUUUAUAUGAAGAGCAUUAGUCAAUAUUUUCUAGCGAAGGACUAAUGAAAACUAAACUGUGGAGACAAAUUGGUAGAAAGUUUGUAUACCUUUUAUGUGGGAUGAAUCUACAGGUGAUGAAUGGCUGGAUGAUUCUUUCGGAGGUGCUGCAACUGGAAUGCUGUGCGCCGUACUGCUGUUGACAUUGGGAGUUGAUGCUGGAGAAGAAGCAGGCCCUGCAUGCAGAUAUAAGGAAUUAACUCAUCAAUAUGAAGAGCAUUAGUCAAUGUUUUCUAGCAAGUAGGGACAAGUACACAUUGUGUGUGUGAAUAAGUUGAGGGAAAUAAUCGGUAGAAAGUUCACUAUGUUGAAUAUAAAUAUUAAAAAACUAUUCUCUGGAUGCUUAAGUUUUUGGAGAACAACGGUUGUUUUAUAUUCUUUAACAUGGCAUCAGAGCAGAGCAGAAGGUUUUGAGUUCAAGUCCUAUUAGAUUCCUAGUAAAUUAAAUAUAAAUAUUAAAAAAAAGCUUAAGUUUUUGGAGAAUAACAGUUGUUUAUAUAAUUUAACACACUAUACCUUCUAUAUGUGAAGAAUUUACAUGUGGAUGGGUGGAUAAUCCCUUUGGAGUUGAUGCAGCAGGAAUACUGUGUGACGUACUAUUGUCGACAAUGGGAGAUAAUGAUGGAGAAGAAGCAGGCCCUGCAUGCAACAUUUAAGAAAUAACUCAACGAUAUGAAGAGCAUUUGUGAAUAUUCUCUAGAAAAGUAAGGAUAAAUAUAACCUUGUAGAUGUGAAUAAGUUGAAGAGGAUAAAUUGGUAGAAAGUUCUUUACCUUUUAUACGGGAAGAAUUUACAGGUGAUGAAUGACCGGAUGAUUCUUUUGGAGGUGCUGCAACUGGAAUGCUGUGUGUCGCACUAUUGUUGAAGUUGGGAGUUGAUGAUGGAGAAUAAGCAGGCCCUGCAUGCAAUAUAUAAAGAAUAACCCAUCAAUAUUAAGGGAUUAGUCAAUAUUUUCUAGGGAAGUAAGGAUAUAUUGUUGAUGUGAAUAAGUUGGAGGAGAUAAAUUGUUAGAAAGUUCAUUCACCUUUUAUACGGGAUGAAUUUACAGGUGGCGAAUGACCGGUCGAUUCGUUGGGAGGUGCUGCAACUGGAAUGCUGUGUGUUUUACUAUUGUUGACAUGCGGAGUUGAUACCGGAGAAGAAGCAGGCCCUGCGUGCAACAUUUAAGAAAUAACUCAACAAUAUGAAGAGCACGUGUGAAUAUUCUCUAGAAAUGUAAGGAUAAAUAUAACCUUGUAGAUGUGAAUAAGUUGAAGAGGAUAAAUUGUUAGAAAGUUCAUUCACCUUUUAUAGGGGUUGAAUUUACAGGUGGCGAAUGACUGGUCGAUUCGUUUGGAGGUGCUGCAACUGGAAUGCUGUGUGUUGUACUAUUGUUGACACGGGGAGUUGAUACUGGAGAAGAAGCAGGCCCUGCAUGCCAUUAAAAAGGAAAACUCACCAAUAUGAAGAGCAUUAGUCAAUAUUCUCUAGAAAAGUGAGGAUAAAUAUAGCCUUGUGGGUGUGAAUACGUUGAAGUAGAUAAAUUGGUAAAAAGUUCAUAUACCUGUUAUCCGGGACGAAUUUACACGUGACGAAUGACCGGAUGAUUCUUUUGGAGGUGCUGCUACUGGAAUGCUGUGUGCCGCACUAUUGUUGAAAUUGGGAGUUGAUGCCGAAGAAGCAGCAGGCCCUGCGUGCAAUACAUUACAAGGAAUAACUCAUCAAUAUGAAGAGCAUAAGAACACAUUCUCUAGUAAGGAUUUAUAUAUAUAUUUUAAAAAAACUCUAGUAAAGAUAGCCAUACCUUGUAAAUGUGAAUAACUUGGAGGUGGCAAACUAGUAGAAGGUUCCUUUGGAGGCGAAGCAAUUGGUGAGCCAUACCUAUUCCCAUGGAAGCGAGAAGCGUUUGAUGCAGGUGCUGUCCGUCAAAUGUUAAUGCAGAAUCAACAUAGAAAAAUAAGCCAGAGAAUUUAAUCUUUUUGAAAUUGACACCUUUUGGGUGAAAAUUUUCUUUUGGAGUAAUUGGUGGUGUAACUUUUAUGGUGGGGCAGAAAUUGGCACACUAUUCCUUUCUCUAAUAAUAGUUGGUGAAGUAGCUGACAUCGAAGAAAAGCCAAGGGUUGUAUCACAAUCAACUACCCCUGUUAAGUAUUCAUUUCCACUUCUACAAUUAUAAACUAUGGAGAAGAAUACCAUUCGGCGUGGAACUAUUAAUUGGGGAUAUUUGGCUAGAUGAUUCAUUCGGGGGUGGUGCGACUGAAACAUCACUACCAUUUCGACUUAUUGGAGGAGUGAUAGGUGUCGGAGGAACUGCCGGCCCAGCAAACAAUACACCAAGUUAUUUAAACUUAAAAAGAGGUAGAACUAGCAUGCUAAUUUAAGAAAGAUGUCACAAAUAACAAGCACUGCUGGCGAAAUGCUUACACUGGUUAUUUGUAGUAUGCGGCGAAUCUGGUGUCGGAGAUGGCGCAUGUCCAAAAAAAGCCGGUAUAGGAGGUUGAGGAGGUGGCAAAACUGGUAGAAAUAGUUAGAUUCAAGAAUUAAGUAUCGUGCCACAGGGGGCUUGCGUGCAGCCUGUGGCACAAAACAUGCCACGGCACGUGCCAUGGCAUGCCCUGCACCAUUGGUGCACUAUGAUGUGACAGUGACACAAUUUUUGAGUGUUUUAUUCUUUUUUUAACUUAAAUCAUUUCAUUCCAAAGAUCAUCUGUAAAACAUAUGAUUAUAAAAGCAUUCCUAUCCCACCAAAUAGAAGGCAAAAAGGGGAUAGUCCCUUUGUACCAUGCCGGUCGGCAUGGUUGGCACAUAAAUCCCGCGUUAAGUCAAUAAUUUACCGCAUGCUACGGUGCUGCACUGUUAUUAACCAUACCUUUGUUUCUUGGUACUGAGACUGGAGGACUAAUCUUUGGUGCUUCUCCAUUUCCAGUACGCGCAGAUGGUGGAACCGCAUAGGAAGGAGAAAGAUCGUGGGCUAAAAAUGAGAACCAAAAAGAGAAAAAGAUCAUUUGGGAUUUGUGACGAUUAAAGAAUACCAAAUAGUCAAAGAUAGGAAUUUACAACUGGGAAGACUUGACGACGGGCUUUCAUACGGUGGAGCACUUGGCUGCGCUGAUGAUAUCACUGCUUGAACAGCGGGGGGAAAUACGUCAGAAGUAUGUGGAAAUCCAGAGGGAGGAAUAGUUGGAGGUUGAAGCGGAAGAGGCAGUGAAACUGACGCAGAAACCAUAAAUGAAAUUAGAUCAAGUUUGAUAGUAUUGCUCACCAUUACUAAGUGAUGGUAAUCAAUUAACCUUCUUUACUUGGAGCUGGGACUGAAGAAUUAGUAUAUGGUGCUUCUCCAUGAAAAACUGGCUUAGGAGAAAGAUUAUUUUCUGUAAAUUGGAGAGGGAAAGAAAUUUGAUCAAGUUUGAUACAGUAUUAAACUUUAUCAGAUUGUCUCAAAAUUUCAAGAAGCAUAUCCUUAAAUUUUACCUUUAACGGGAUUACCCUCAGACGUCGUGGCUGGAGCAGGUGCAUAUUCUUUUGGUGGUUCUUUAAAAUACACAGGACUGGAUGCUUCGUCUUUCGUAUGAGGAACUGAAGAGGACACGUAUGGGGGUGGGGAUACAUCAAAAUCUGCAUUGAAUCCAACAGAAAUUACGUAGUGAUCCUUCUAAAUAAAAAAUAAACAAAUAAACUGAAAUGGAUUUUUAGUAUGAACCUAAGUUUCUCGGCGGUGGAGAAAUUGAUGGAGCAACCAUAUUUGAGGGAUCAAGUAUCUCAGUUGUGUUAUUUGUUGGAGGCGCAUUUGUCAAGGGUAGCAGUGUCCUUCGAGCAAGCAAGUGCAGUUCUAAUGGUUUUGAGAGUUGUACUACAAAAAUAUUAAGCAUAAUGUAUUAGCAGUUUCAUCUUUUAAGCUCAAAAAAGUGAACCGUAGUGCAAUUCCGACCACAACAAAAGAGCACAUAAGAGAGCACAUGGCACAUAUCCAGUAGAUAAGAAUUACAGUUCAUGAACUCACAGAAACAACGACCAAAAGCACUUACACUUUUAAUUGACAUUUUCAAGGCCCAACAAUGAAGUCAUAUUGCUUUCCAAAGAACAAGCUGAAAACAAUAUAGAAUAUAUGUACAUAUAAAUAUAUAUAUAUAUAUAUAUAUAUAUAUAUAUAUAUAUAUAUAUAUAUAUAUAUAUAUAUAUAGAGAUGUAUAGAACUCUUUGUCCUCAUAAGUAGUUUUCAAUGAUGGAGCUUCCAUUAAAUAUGAUAUAAAGCAUUUGAAACUUAUAAAAAAUGAAUCCGUAAUUUUUCAAAAUUAUAAUAAAAUCCAUCAAGCGGGCAUAAAAUGAAUAGUAAAAACUGAACGAUCUCCUACAAAUGGAUGAUCAGAUCCUUUAAUUUAAGAUCGGAGUUAUUGAUCUAUAUCUAGAUUAUGAAUAGAAUUUUCUAUCAAAAAUUCAAUCAAUUCUGAUUCUUUUACACCGUUAAACUAGAAAGUAUCCCAUACAAGCCAUUAAAAAUUAUCAAUUUUGAGAUCUUCUGAUCCUGAGGUAAAUAAUGUCAAAAAAAUAUGAAAAUUUGAUUUCUAGAAGUUUCAAAUGCCUUAAAUCAUGUUUAACGGUAUGGAUCGUCAAUUCGAAAGUUUUAUCAUCGAAAACAAUUUAUGAGUACGAAGAUGAUCGUGCUUACAAGAGAACAGUAGCUGGACUCUAUAUAUGUAUAUAUCUCUUCUGUAACACAACAGUUUCUCGCUAUUUUUCAAGCCAUAUCCUAACAUUGUUUCCCCUAAAGCACAAAGUCAACACUGAGAAGGCUCUCAAAAGAAUUGACAAAUUUUGUCAAUGAGCUGUCAUCCACACAUCAGCACUCAAGAAAGCAGCGGAAGCAAAUUCGGCAAGACGGAGGCUCACAACAAAACUAAAAGCCAGUCAGCCAAUAGAACACUCUUCAUUGGUUCUUUCAUGUUUAGCUUAUGUAGUGAAGAAACACUCACCGAAAUUUACAACAACUAAAAUUAAUGCCAUAUACAUUUCACAGCAAUGUUUAACUAGCAUGUGGUUCGAUUUUGUAGCCUGUAUACAUUAUACUGUCAUAGAAUAACCCACUGACGGAAAUUGGCCUACUCAGUUAAUUUAUGGUUGAAUGGUUACCCAUAAAAUCUGAUGCUACUUGUUAUUUAAACCUAACCCUGUAAUUCCGCAUGUAUGGGAUUUCCCUGAACAUAGUCCUUAUUAUCAGCCAAUAGAAACCCCAAACAACUCAGACAAUUUACUUCUAAUGCUUAGAGCCACUUGAAAUAAACCUUAAUUCCUAGAUAUCAAAAUGAAAAAUCAACGUUAUUCUGGGAUAUAUCAAAUUCAAAGCAAUAUCAUCUCCAUACAUUCCUCGUUCUUUAGAGGAAUGUUUCCAAUAAAUAAGGAUUCGUUCUUGCAUAUUUUUACUAGUUUUCCAAAAGUAAUCCAUGUCCCGAUCAAACCGGAUUUCCCUAUUAUUUUUCUAAUCACACCAACCCUACAAAUAUACAAAUAGCUUAAUCUAUAGAAAGACCAAGAGGCUCGAUCAAACUGGUUGGCCACCGUGAUCAAUCGGCCAAACGCAUAUCCGGUGUUCAGAUUUAAGCUUCCCAUUUUCUCUAGGAUUGAUAUUGCCUCACUACGCCGCGCUAAUACUACAUCAAAAAGUCCAAUUAUAUAAUAUUUCAUCACGGUUUUUUAAUACUUUAAAAGAUUUUAGAGACGAACAGUUGUUUCACACGGUAUCCGACCGUCGGAGGUCCCAAGAUCACUUUUUUUCACAAGUUCUUAGUUUGAUUUAAUUCAAGCCCAUGUCAUAUUAGAGAAAACUAGAGAAAUGAAUGGCUGUCUAAGAUGAUAAGAUCAACAAAAUCUAAAAACAUCCUCAGAAACUAACAUGGCAACAAAUGGAACUUAUUCAGAUCAUGUUUGUAAGCAUUUUUGCUACCUCCGGGGCCUCGGAUCGCGACGAGAACAAGAAGGAGAACGCCUACAACAGAUGGGCAAAGAAUCAUCAUCAUCCGCCGCCGCCGCCGCCCCAUGCCGCCGCUCCCUCUCUCAUAAUCCAACCCCCUCAGCCCCCCCACAAACUCGCUAAAAACCGAAGAACAUGGACGGAUUUGAUGAACCCACCAGGAAAAACCACUGGAACGAUCCCAAAGGAGUCAAAUUUAAGCAAACCCAUGCAAGGAACCACCAAUUCACAUACACAAAUGUAAAAGGCUAUAAAGAAAGAAGGGGAAAACAAGAAAAGGAUUGAGAUGAAUUUAAAGCAAACCCAUGUGAGGAAACAUCAAUUCAUGUCCAAAGGAAACUGUGGAGAAGAGCUUCUCUCUUCUGGGGGUGAUGAACAGCAAAAAAAGGGCUACAAAGUACAAAGAAAGAGGGGGAGGGGGGAAAGGGGGGGUGUAUGUGUUGGGUUGGGAAAUGAGAGGGGUGGGGAAAUGAGGGGGUGGAGUGCAUAAAAGCCUUGUGUAGUGGGAAGGGGCCAACUCUUCUCUCCUAACUUUUAGAUUCUGUGCUAUGCUUGCAUCUUGGACUCACUUUGAUAGAUUGAGAGAGAGUGAGAAAGAGAGAGAGGACACAGAGGAGACUACUGUUUUAGAGAGAGAGAGAGGGGACAGAGGGGAGUUGAUAUAUAUUUAAUAUAAUAUUCAGAGGUUGUUGAACUUGAACACAGGCAGCAGAGGUCCAACACAGGGGGGUACAAAGUUAUUCAAGGCCUCUUUUCUGUUUAGUGGAGCUUUCUGGUUGGGUGUUUGGUGGGGUUGCACUGUUAAAUUUAUUAUUAUUAUUAUUAUUAUUAUUAUUAUUUUGAGAGGAAGAUUGCACGUUAUUUGUUACGUUUGCAAAGCAGCUACAUUUUGAAUUUGGGACUUUGGCUUUAUUUAGGAUUGCGAGAAGAUUGCGUUGAGAAAGUACGCUGUAAAAAUACUAUAUUUGUGUCCGUACGUAAUAUUACGUUCCGCAUAUCGUGAUGAGUCGGUUACGAUAUAUUUUUCGCGGUCCCAGUGGAGAACGCAGAAGCAUAUCCCUAUAUGCUUUUUCCACAACUCCAUUUUAUCUAAUAGCGUUAGAUAGGCCUCAAUACCAAACUAAGCCUUAGAUACCAACCACCUGCCCUUCUACCACUUGCACUAUGGACGGUUAUUCUGUUAUGUUUAUUAUUAUUAUUAGAGAAAUCCUUAGUUUACAAAAAUCUUUGAGGAUUGCAAACUUGCAAUCUUGACAACUCUCAAUUUUAUAUUAUUUGAGAGAAAGGUCGCAUGCUAUUCGUUUCGAUUUAUUUUUUAAAAAUAAAUUUAACUAAAAAUGUAAAAUAACUAUAUUUCGAACUUGGGACCUCAGAUAUCAACCACCGACUCUUUUGCUACUUGGACUAGGGACGGUCGUUCUGUUACGUUUAUUAUUACUUGAGAAAUCCUUAGUUUACAAAAAUCUUUGAGGGUUGCAAUCUCGACAACUCUCAAUUUUAUAUCCAAUUUUUAGUGUAUAUAUAUAUAUAUAUAUAUAUAUAUAUAUAUAUAUAUAGAACAUGGCGCUGCUGUGCUCUAAGGAGCACGGUGGCCUCCGUGCUCCUGAGCCGUUUUCGAUGAUUGGAGUUUCCGAAUCGACGAUCGCUCCGUUAAGCUUGAUCUAGCUUAUUUGAAGUUUCUAGAAAAUAAUUUUUGCGAUUUUUCGAUAUCAUUUACCUAGCAAUCGAAAGGAUUCAAAAUCAAUAAUUUUUAACGGCUGAAAAUAAAAAUCCUAUAAAAAGUGGUGAUAUAGCACUAAAAUUUUCGAUCAGAAAUAUUGAUCUUUUUAUAGAUAGUAUAAAGAAUUUUCUAUCAAAAUUUCAUCUGAUUUGAAUACUUCUACACCGUUAAACUUGAAUACGGCAAAUAUCAACCAUUAAAAAUUAUGGAUUUUGAAUCCUUUCGAUCACUAGGUAAAUGAUAUCGAAAAAUCGCAAAAAUUAUUUUCUAGAAACUUCAAAUGCGCUAGAUCAAGUCUAACGGAGCCGAUCGUCGAUUCGAAAAUUCCAUCAUCGAAAACGGCUCAGAAGCACGAAGGCCUCCGUGCUCCUGAGAGCACAGCAGCCCUGCUCUAUAUAUUAGAAACGAAUAGCAUGCUGAAGCAAGUUCUUACUUCUUGGCCAGGUCCAGUAACACUAGCCUUUUGCUGUGUCAAUUUUCUAUGAUUGUUAUUCUUUAGUAGGUGAUUAUUUAUGGUGACUCCCUCAAGUAUCGGUUAUUUUGAAAUAACCCCUUCAAACUUUAUUUUUUGAUUGAUAGCCCUCAACUUUUAUUAUUUUUUAAAAUGAGUAAUUUUAGCCAAAAUAUAGAAAGAUUCUACCAAAUAUAUUGACAACUUUACUGAAUUUAAUGGCUUUUAUUGUUUUUUAGCCAAUAAAACAAGGGCAAUUAACUGUUAGUAAUUAAUAUGUUAGAACAAAUACCGCAACGAAAAUCUGAUUGUGAUUAAUAUUUAACUAAUUUUGUAAUAAGAAUAAAAUCAAACUUACAGAUAAACGCAAAUAUCCAAAUAAUAAUUUGAUCUUAUCCGGAAGCGUGCGAGGCACUGCCCUAAGGCGUAUUUCCGUCCUUACGUGCGGGAUUAACCGAAAAUAACACCCCAAGAUACGACCGGAAUUCCUCCUCCUGCGAGCACGAUCGUGAAGGAGGUUGACGAAGAUUCUCAACACCCAGUGGAUAAGGGGAAUGUUCAAAAAUAAAAGAUAAAAGAAUAAAUGGAUAGAGAUUAACCAAUGAUCAAAAAUCUUUUCUGCCUGCUCUAUCUUGNUAUUAUGAAAAUAACCAUCUAAUAAAUUUAUGUCCCAAAAUAAUUUACCUCCCAAUCUUAGAAUUUGCAAAAUUCGUUUCCAAGAUGAACACUAGGAUAAAAUCACGAGAGCAAUUAUAAUAUCAAAAUUUAUCAAACUGAUAAAAGAGUAACCCCGACAAGUUCUGAAAUAUACUAAAAAUUUAAAAAUUAUAAAAUUUAAUCAUGUUUAACAAAAUUCGGUUCAACAACAAAUAGAUUGCAGAAACAAUUUUAAAAUAUUUGAUUUUAAUUAGGUAAUUUGUUUGCAAACAAUAUAUUGCAAGUAAUGUAUAAAAAUAUUAAAUACAAUCAGCAAAAUUAUCACAAUAACUGUGCUAGCUCUUGUAUAUUCAGUCGUGCUAAGAAGUUAGAUAGUUGUGAUAUUAAAUCCAACAAAUGGAGUUUGCAAUGACAGCAACAAUAAUAAAAAAAAAAUGCAAUAGUAUUAAUACUGCUUGUUAGGUGAUCUCGCUCAAAAACUGUGCCUUUAGAAAGUGUAGGUUGAAAUCCCACUUGGAGCAAAAUGUUUAAAAUUAAUUUUGCAGCAGCAACAUUUUUUUUUUUUUUUUAAUUAGCAAAGGAUUUUACUGUAGCAAACUUUUAAACCGUACACUAUAAAAAAUAAUUUUACAGUAGCUUUUUUUUUUUAAAAAAAAAACAAAUUUAAAACACCCUAAAGCAAAUAAGAGAAUAUAAUAAUUGAUAAUUAAACUGUAUGCAUUUUUAGCAAGUAAAUUAUAUGCAAUUGAAUUUGAAAAUACUAAUUCUAAUUUAUUUAAAUUAGAAUGACAAACAUACAAUCAAAUUUGUCAAACAAAAAUAAUACGCAAUAUCUUUCUAUUUUAAGCGAAAUAAUAAUUAAACCACAUACAUGAGUGUGCUAGUCUCCAACAGCAGUGUAGCGCAAGGGCGACAUGAUAAAAUCCCAGUAACAAGCUAUCAUGGAUGGACACUCCUCCACAAAAAUUAAUUUAAUAUCGAGAUUGGCACGUAGCCCAUAUAUAUCAGAUAUUAAACUAAUAGGAACAGAUAUUACACUUCUCUGAAAAUUAUAAAUUUAAUUAGAACUCUGAAUUAAUUGAACAAUUAGAUUUGAUUCAGCAGACCAAAUGCGGCAGAUGUGAACUUUGUUAAAUAGUGCACAAAAUUACAAGCCAUUAAAUUCUAACUUUUUUUUUAAAGAGCUUUUACUGUAGCAACAACUCAAAAACCAUACACAGUAAAGAUUAAUUUCACUGUAGCAAAAAAAUAUUAUUAUUAUUAUUAUUUUUUUAAAAUAUAGACAAACAGUGAAAACUAUAUAUAAUCCAUAAUGUCCGUACCUCUUUUUUCCCAAAAGAGCUACAGUAAAGGCAAUUUUUUUUUUUAAAAAAAUACUCAUCAAAUAAAAUGUAAUUUAAACAAGAAAUUACAAAAUAUGCAAUUAUAGGUUAAAGUGCUAAUCCCAAAAAAAAUUAUAUUUAAAUGCCAACAAACAAAUUAACAAACAAAUUAUAUACGUAUAAAAUUAAUUUAAUACGGAUUAACAUCCGUUAGAUUUUAACCACAAUCAAAUUGAAAAUACGCCUUAGAUUGUUAGAACAAAUACCGCAACGAAAAUCUGAUUGUGAUUAAUAUCUAACUAAUUUUGUAAUAAGAAUAAAAUCAAACUUACAGAUAAACGCAAAUAUCCAAAUAAUGAUUUGAUCUUAUCCGGAAGCGUGCGAGGCACUGCCCUAAGGCGUAUUUCCGUCCUUACGUGCGGGAUUAACCGGAAAUAACACCCCAAGGUACGACCGGAAUUCCUCCUCCUGCGAGCACGAUCGUGAAGGAGGUUGACGAAGAUUCUCAACACCCAGUGGAUAAGGGGAAUGUUCAAAAAUAAAAGAUAAAAGAAUAAAUGGAUAGAGAUUAACCAAUGAUCAAAAAUCUUUUCUGCCUGCUCUAUCUUGAGCAAGAAGAAAAGGAAAAAGACUUAAAAAGGAAAGAGGAUUUUACGUUUUUUCUCUUACGAGAAAGAAGCGGAACCCGCCCAACGUAACGCGAAAGAAACGGAACGGAAAAAAUUCCGUUAGUUUCUUUCUCAUUAAGAAAGAUAAUAAAAUAAUUAAAUAAAAUAAAAUAAUUAAAGUAAUAAAUAAAUAAAAUAAUAAAUAAUAAAACAUCAAAGUGCAAAUAAAAUAAAUUC